rnacentral:lncRNA from 1 species
ACUUCUAUAUGUUACAUGCACUACAACAGAAUUAGAUUAUAAUAACACAAUUUCGGAACACUUUUAUGUAAGUGUCCCAUUUAUACCAAUACUUUUUUAAAAAAUCUACUAAAGACUAAAUAUAAAGCCCAAUACAAUCAAAAAGAAAAAAGUUCCUCUACUUAGCCAACCACACUCAGCCCAUUCAACCCGAUUACAAAUAAAAAAGGAAAAAAAAAAGAAAGAUCGAUCACCAUCUCUCCUUCUCCUUCUCCGCCGCCGCAGCCGAUGAGGUAGGGUUCCGGUGACUGGAGUUUGACCGCGAGAAUCUCGUAGGGACCGUAGAGAGCUACGAUUGCCAUGUAUUCCUCCGCCACAGGUCGCUGGAGGAGUUGGUGCCAAAUAUCAAGACAGCCCUACCUAUAGCGAUCCCACGCAUAGCAACACUUUUAAAAAGUAUCGGUAAUUUAUAGCCAAGAGCACUUUUUUUGACCUGUAACGAUAUUUAAAAGUGUCGCUAUAUACCGUUUUUGUUGUAGUGUGCCAACAAGUUAGAGAUAUGCGACCACUUGUUCUCGAGAUGUCUAUACUUCCGCUACUUCUUUGCUCGAUAGAGGAUUGCUAAUCUUUUAUUUCUUAUCUUUUACCUUUUACUUUUACCUCCGGCCUUCUCACCCUCUCUUUCCUCUUCUUCGAGAUCUUGGCUGCCUCAUCUGUAUUGCUAACUCCUCCUCCAAGAAGGUAAUCUGCGCAGACUUAGCCGGCACUGCAUUAACUCAAACUGUAUACUUCAACCACGAAGACCACCAUUGCAAAGAUGGGUCUUUAACUGCCUACCAACCAGAGGACACAUCCAAGACCGCGGACUUUAACUGCCUUGACACUCAACAGAAGAAAGAGAAGGACCCUAUCAACCUCUUUAAGCAUACUUACAAGGAAGCACUUCUUUCUUCUCCACUUGCACCCACUCCGCCUCCACUACACCCACCUGCGAAGCCCGCCUCUUCUUUCCCCCUGGUCAAUGGCUACUUCUCCUUCAAGGGUCGCUGCUUCAGGUGCCUGGGGAGAGAUCACCGGGCCUCUCAUUGCCGCGAUCCUGUUCGGUGCACUACGUGUUUCAAGUCUGGGCACAUCGCGAGAGCCUGCAUGAAUUGCUUACCACUGCCGGUUUACCGGAUGAUGCGAGCACGUCCCUCCCACCUUAGUGCUUUUGUCCCCCUCUCCGAUGACUUCAUCGCCCGCCAAAAUCGUCGCCGCAACGCCAUCUUGGUCGUUGUCCUGCCUCCGGCGAACCUUGGGCAUUUCCCGCAGGAUACAAUCGCCAAGGAGCUCGCAAGUCGCUUUGGUGGAUACCCUAACGACUUCCACGUCGCUCGUUAUAGCGUGAGAGACUACGUUGUUUUUUUACCUGAUUUGGUUCCGAGCGAUCGCAUUAUUCGUCGGGACGUCCUCAACCUGGGGGCUAUCCGACUCCGUUGUUUCCCCUGGCAUCCCUACCGCGGCGCUCGCCGACCGCCGUUGACAUACAAGGCCUGGAUCCGUCUCGUCAACCUCCCCUAUGAGUGCUGGUCUUUCCGGUCGGUGGCAGCUCUUGUAGGAGGCUUCAGUCGCUUCAUCAGGCCGGACGACGUCAGCGCUCGAAUGGAAGAUCUCUCCGGAUACAGGUGUUUCAUUGCGGUUAAUCAUCUAUCGGACAUUCCGAAAAAUUUGGACAUCACUUUCGGAGAACUGUCGAUUUCGGUGUCAAUCCAGCUGGAAGGUUGGGACCGCGCCGAUGCCGUCGGACGCGGAUACCCGCCCAAUGAGCGCUCAGAUAAGUGGCGUGGACGACGGGUCCGUUCGGCCGUCCGUGGACACCGCGCCGUUGCCGUCCCUCUACGACAGGAGUCUUCUCUGGCCAGCGCGCCCCUCACGGCGUCCCUUCCGCUCGCCGCGCCUUCAGUUGAAGGCAUACCGGCCGGGAGGGCUGUGGUCGACGACGCACUGAUCGGCGGGCCUCUGCGACAGGAGUUUCCCCAUGCCCGCGUGCCCACCACGGCGGCGGCGCCCACCACGGCGACGGCGCCCACCGGAGCGGCGGCGCCUUCUCUGCUCGCCGCGUCUCCAGUCGUAUGCCCAUCAGCCGGAGGAACCGCCGUCGGCGACACCUUGGUUGGCGGGCCAACCAAGUUGACAAUUUCAAAUCUCAUCUCUGUCGACCAUCCUAUUCCUGUCCAGUCAGCCGUCAUGGACAGUAGUAGUGUCAGGGCUCUAGGCAACUCUUUCCAGCUCGCGCGCCCCCCGAUUGCCUGUAGCCUCUCAAAUGUCAUUAAUGCACCUUCAGCUGUGAUGGAAAGCUUCGAAAUUAAGGCCCAGGGAUUUCUAAAGGUGGUGUUAGACAAAAUGGGAUUUGGGGCUGCUUUCUUCCUCCUCGAGAAUCGGUGGAGCAUUUAUUUUCGAUUCUCUCCAUCUCCCUCGUUCCCCGCGCGGGGGCCUUUCCAGUUCGUUGUUGACGGGUCGGAUGCGCAGACUGGGUCGGUAGUGCUUUCCCCAAGCUACCCGAGAUCCAUUCUGGACCCGGAUCUACCCUCUUCUUGCUGGCCUGGUGCAAGGCAGAUCUUUUCCAGCACUGGGCCAGUCUUGGGCUCACUUAUGGGCAGAAGGACGGUCCCUAGCGGGCCCCCCUCCAGCAGCCUACUUGGGCUCUCCUCUGGCUUCGGGCCCGCUGGAAGCCUGCUCCCCUCUAACUGUCCCCUUGUACUCUCGUCUGAUUAUGGGCCCGCAGGAUGCCUGAACUCUUACUGCCUGGGACCAGAUAGGGGUGGCCCAUCUGCUGGGUCCUUAAUCUCCGAUCCAUAUAAGGCUUGUCUUGGGGCGGGCUCGUACCAUGAUGCUACCCUGACGCCGACAAUUUCGUGCGGCCCCCCACCCAGCAACGAAUGUCCCACUAUGGUACUGCCUAGAUCUAGCGGAAGGGUUUGCAAGCAAUUUUCGGGCACUGCCUUAUGUAAGGCCAUGCACAGGAAGGCGCGACUUCUCGAGGGUGAGACAACACAAAUCAAUCAUUCUUCGCGCAAAUGGACAAGGAAAAAGGUUAAGGCGAAGGGUCUCCUCUGUGGGGUAGACCUUCCUGACGACGAUGCUAAGGAGUUCCUCGCUUUCCUGUGUGGGAAGGUCUAAGCGCGGUCUGCUUACCCGCUGGCGCUGUUCCUUUUUGUGUGCGUCACUUGUUUAUUGAUGUUUAGUAUUUUGUGUUGGAAUGUCCGGGGCCUUAACGACCCCUCCAAGCGACGUUGUGUCAAGUCGGUCAUUUCUAGUCGCGUGUGUUCCGUUAUUUGUCUCCAAGAAUCUAAGGUGAACUGUGUGUCUCGUUCUUUUAUCCGCUCUUGCUGUGGCUCUAGCUUUGACAGAUCUCAAUUUAUUCCUGCAUCCGGCGCUUCUGGCGGGCUUAUCACUUGUUGGAGCUCCAAAUUUUUCUCUUGUAGUGAGGUUAUUGUGAGAAAGUACUCUCUGACUCUACAUCUAACUUGUCUUAUGAGUAGAAAGACUUUCUUCCUCACGAACGUCUACGGGCCACCUAUUUGGGAUGGAAAGGAUGAAUUCUGCUCCGAACUUCUCUCUUUGCAAAGGGUUUGCACUUCCAACUGGGUGAUUUGCGGAGACUUCAACUUCACCAAAAAUCAAUCAGAACGAAAAGGGAACACCUGGAGCACUAAGGCGAUGGCUAUGUUCUCUGACCUCAUAUCCAGCCUAGCUCUCAUCGACCUCCCCCUAUCUAAUCAAAGUUUCACCUGGUCAAAUAUGCAACAUAGACCCACCUUGGCAAAGCUCGACAGAUUCCUCGUGUCGACGGAGUGGGACCAAUCCUUCCCUCAUAGCAAGGUCAAAGCCCUUCCCAGGAUCACAUCUGAUCACUCUCCGAUCAUUCUUUACACCGGGCUGCAACCCGUACCCAGAAGAUUCCGCUUCGAAAGGGUUUGGCUCACUAAAGAGGAUUUCCACUCAAAACUGCCAACCUGGUGGAACGAAGUAGGCAUCAAGAAUUCGGCCAUUCUCACCAUCACCGCCAAGCUCAGACACUGCCGAACCAGAAUUAAGGAAUGGUGCAAGACGAAUUUCCACAGCAUCUCUCUCUCGAAGAGGAUAUUAGAGGAAGAACUUCAAGUUAUUGAUCGCUUAGAAGAACAAAACGACCUUUCUCAAGAUUUAUUAGAUAAGCGAUCUAAUCUCAAAUCACAAUUACAUUCAAUCUUGGAAGAGGAAGAAAUUCUCUGGAAAACUAGGGCCAAACAACUCUGGCUUAGGGAAGGCGACCGCAACACUAAAUUUUUCCACGCCGUGGCUAAUGGACGGAAACGUUACAACUCGAUUGAUGUUAUCGAGAACAAUGAUGGAAUAGAAAUCACUAAUGAAGCCUCCAAGCGAUCCUUCUUGCUCCAAGCUUUUAAACAGCGGUUUGGCCAAACAGAGGAUAGAGCGCAGUCUUAUGGGGACUGGAGUAGACUAUACCAUUCUAAUAGACUGCACAAUUCUGACUCCCUUACAUCCCCUUUCACCUUGGAGGAAGUCAAGACUGCUACUUUCCAACUCGCAAGCGACAAGUCCCCGGGGCCAGACGGCUUCUCCCUCACUUUCUUCCAAACAUUCUGGGAGACGGUUAAAGCGGAUAUUUUUCGUGUCUUCAUCGACCUACAAGACAAUAGACUUUUUACUGGCCCUUCGGACUACUCUUUUGUAUGUCUGAUCCCGAAAAAAGAAGGAGCACGCAAGGUCAACGACUUUCGUCCAAUAAGCCUUAUUAAUAGUAUCCAGAAAAUCAUAUCAAAGGUCCUAGCCAACAGGCUUGCCCCCACCCUGCCGUCUAUCAUCUCUUCAACGCAAUCGGCUUUUCUCAAAGACCGGUUGCUGACUGACUCGUUCGUUACCGCAAGCGAACUACUCAAUUGGUGUUCUAAGACUGGUAGGGAAUGCGUAUGUAUUAAAGCAGACUUCGAGAAAGCUUUUGACAAUGUUCGUUGGGACUUCCUGAAAAGCAUAUUACAUUGGCUGGGAUUCAACGACAAAUGGUGGGCUUGGGUCGAGCAGUGUAUCUGUAACGCCAAAGUAGCCAUCCUAGUUAACGACACCCCGACUAACUGGUUUAAGACUAGAAAGGGACUUAGACAGGGCGACCCUCUUUCCCCCUAUCUUUUCCUAUUAGUGGCUGACUGCUUGGCUAGGCUCACUGAAACUGCAAGGAAUAACAACCUUCUCUGUGGUAUUGGUCCGUCCACGGAUUGUCAAACUGUGCUGAUCCAAUACGCAGAUGACACGAUCUUCCUUUCUGAGCCUAGGAAAUACUUCAUGCGGAAUCUUCAAUUUAUAUGGUUUAUCUUUGAGUGGGCCUCUGGACUCAGGAUCAAUUUGGACAAAUCAGAACUGUAUUAUUUGGGACCCGACCCUCAACGAGCCAACAGACUCAGUAACAUCCUAGGAUGUAAAGUGGGGAACCUUCCAUUUCGCUACCUGGGACUACCGCUACACAAUAAACAACUCCGUCGAGAAGAUUGGGCUCCGGUCAUUGACCGUAUACUCAUGAGAAUCGAAGGAUGGAAAGCCAAACUCCUAUCCCAAGGGGGAAGACUCACGCUAGUCAACUCGGUCCUCACCAACUUGCCACUAUUCUACCUAUCCAUCUUCAAAGCGCCGCAAUGGGUAUUGCACCGGAUCGAAUCUCUAAGAAGAGCUUUCUUCUGGAAAGGAUGUACCAGUAUUUCUGGAGGAGCUUGUCUUGUUAGCUGGAAGUCUAUAUGCACAAGCAAGAAAGAAGGUGGGCUCGGGAUCAAAGAUAUGGAAGCUAUGAAUCUGGCACUGUUAUCCAAAUGGUGGUGGCGUUUCUUCAACAAACCGCAUUUACUAUGGUCCAAAUUGAUCACAUCUCUCUACUACGCCAGAAGAAAGCCUUUACACGAGGGUAGAACUUUCGUACCUUACUCAUAGUGGUGGAAAGGUGUACUUUAUUGUCGUGACAUCUUCAAAUGCGGUUUAUCUUUUGAGCUAGGCGACGGACGUAACAUUAGAUUGUGGUCGGACAUUUGGAUUGGCGAAUCACCCUUGAGCACCAUGUUUCCAGACAUCUAUGCACAUAUUACGAACAAGGAAGUUCGGAUAUCCGAAUGUUGGAAUCAUAAUGGAUGGAGAUGGCGUUACAUCACUAGAGGUUUCGUGGCGUCCCGUUCAGCCCAUGGUAGUAGUCAUUUGCAGUUACUCAAAGAACUACUACUAAGCAGCCACCCGUACAACAGACAAGAUUUGUUCAAAUGGCGGUGGACUACCAACCACCUGUUUACAGUCAAAUCCCAAUACCAAUUUCUCACAGACGGCGGUUGUAGAGAUUGGUUGAACCAGCACAUCUGGAGCCUGAAAAUACCAUUUAAAAUCAAAAUUUUCGUUUGGUUGCUGCUUCGAAAGAGACUACUUACCACUGACAGACUGCUCUCCAGAGGCAUGCCUGUAGACCCGUACUGCGCACUCUGUGGGGUACUGCCGGAAAGCUGUGAUCACCUUUUCUCUAAGUGCGUCUUUGUUCGCUUCCUCCUACUCUCUGUGGCUGACUUCGAAACUAUUCCUUCUACCCCGGGAGAGGCCUGCGAGCUUUGGGUCAACGUAUCUGGAACCACUGACGCUGCAAAGAAAUCCAAAGGUUUAAUCCAUCUGGUUGCAAUCUGGUGGGUUGUCUGGACAGAUAGAAACUCGGUAAUCUUUCGGGCCGCAUCCCCCAACGCAGUUCGGUCAUCUGAACGCAUCAACAGAUUGAUAAGCGACUGGGGAAUACUCAAUUGACCAACUCCCUCAGCUUUUCACUUACCUUUCCUCUUUUAUCUUUUAUUUCUUUUUAUUGCAUCUAACCCUGUUUUCACCUUUUUCGUCUACGGAGGCCGUAGUUGCUUCCAUCCUGUACGCUUAAUUCAUCUCGCUUUAUGAAUGAAGCAGGUAGCUUGCUACCUUUUUCUCAAAAAAAAAGUUUAUGAUAAAAUAAAUGAACCAAAUAACUUGUUACCUUUUUCUCCAAAGGGGAAAAAAAAAAAGAACUUCUCGAAAGCAUCUGAAGUUUGUAAAUAUAAUAUUAGAGUCUGUCAUAUGCCACGUUGUUAAAAGUAGUCAAUAGGUCCAUAAGAAGAUUGUGUAGCUAGUAAAAUGACGAUACAAAAAUAGAGUUAGAUCAGAGUCAAGGUCCAACUGAAUGAUGAGAUCGCAUAUAUAACUACUGUUGGAGUAGAGUCAUGAGCCAACAAAACAAUUGAAGCAAAGACGUGAGCUGAUGAAACAGGGAUGGUUGGAUAAUCCUCUCUGUCUUCUGUGGUGAAGUUACGGAGACAGUGGACCAUCUUUUUAUAGGAUGUGUGUACACUAGGUUUAUGCUUUUUCGAACCUUAGAGGACAUCUAGUAUUUACAGACAGUGGAGAACGUACUGACGAUUUGGAGUAAAAUGACCAGACAUAUUAGGUCGGGGGAGAUUCUAAAGGAUCUGAUUACCAUAGUAACGUGCUGGUGGCUAAUUUGGAAGGAAAGAAAUAACGUGAUUUUUAAAAACCACUUUGCUGACUCUCUCUUUGUAGUUGGGCGUAUCAAGGAGUUGGUAAGAGAGUGGAGGGACUUUUGUUGAGCUGAAUAAUCUGUCGAUUACUUUUGUUAUUAUUUCUCUUUUCUUCUUUUUUUGAGCUAUAUUUUUCUCCUCGAGGCCAUGUUGUCUCACUGUUUGUGGCCAAGUUCAUUUUCGAAAUGAAUGAAGCGGGUAUUGUGCUACCUUUUUCUCAAAAACAAAAAAAAAAAAACAAGAAUUUAAACAUAGUCAAACCAACACCCUCAUAAAUACAAAUUAAGAUCAAAUUAAUUUACUGAUAAGCUAUAAGUAUUAAGUCAUAUAUAACAUUUUGUAUAUAAAAUUAUAUGUGUAUAUAUAAUGUUUGAACUUUUUUUACCAAGCCACGCUCAAGCUCAGCUCGCGAACCAUGAGCUUUUUUUAACAGCCCUUACACAACCAUUCAGUAAAUUUUUACAUAGACCAUGCAUGGGAAUUGAAGAAGAGGCUAUAUAUAUAUUGGUGCAAUUAAUUUAGCCGAAUUUGCAUGAUUUUAUAAAUUUUUUUUUUUUUUUUGANNNNNNNNNNNNNNNNNNNNNNNNNNNNNNNNNNNNNNNNNNNNNNNNNNNNNNNNNNNNNNNNNNNNNNNNNNNNNNNNNNNNNNNNNNNNNNNNNNNNNNNNNNNNNNNNNNNNNNNNNNNNNNNNNNNNNNNNNNNNNNNNNNNNNNNNNNNNNNNNNNNNNNNNNNNNNNNNNNNNNNNNNNNNNNNNNNNNNNNNNNNNNNNNNNNNNNNNNNNNNNNNNNNNNNNNNNNNNNNNNNNNNNNNNNNNNNNNNNNNNNNNNNNNNNNNNNNNNNNNNNNNNNNNNNNNNNNNNNNNNNNNNNNNNNNNNNNNNNNNNNNNNNNNNNNNNNNNNNNNNNNNNNNNNNNNNNNNNNNNNNNNNNNNNNNNNNNNNNNNNNNNNNNNNNNNNNNNNNNNNNNNNNNNNNNNNNNNNNNNNNNNNNNNNNNNNNNNNNNNNNNNNNNNNNNNNNNNNNNNNNNNNNNNNNNNNNNNNNNNNNNNNNNNNNNNNNNNNNNNNNNNNNNNNNNNNNNNNNNNNNNNNNNNNNNNNNNNNNNNNNNNNNNNNNNNNNNNNNNNNNNNNNNNNNNNNNNNNNNNNNNNNNNNNNNNNNNNNNNNNNNNNNNNNNNNNNNNNNNNNNNNNNNNNNNNNNNNNNNNNNNNNNNNNNNNNNNNNNNNNNNNNNNNNNNNNNNNNNNNNNNNNNNNNNNNNNNNNNNNNNNNNNNNNNNNNNNNNNNNNNNNNNNNNNNNNNNNNNNNNNNNNNNNNNNNNNNNNNNNNNNNNNNNNNNNNNNNNNNNNNNNNNNNNNNNNNNNNNNNNNNNNNNNNNNNNNNNNNNNNNNNNNNNNNNNNNNNNNNNNNNNNNNNNNNNNNNNNNNNNNNNNNNNNNNNNNNNNNNNNNNNNNNNNNNNNNNNNNNNNNNNNNNNNNNNNNNNNNNNNNNNNNNNNNNNNNNNNNNNNNNNNNNNNNNNNNNNNNNNNNNNNNNNNNNNNNNNNNNNNNNNNNNNNNNNNNNNNNNNNNNNNNNNNNNNNNNNNNNNNNNNNNNNNNNNNNNNNNNNNNNNNNNNNNNNNNNNNNNNNNNNNNNNNNNNNNNNNNNNNNNNNNNNNNNNNNNNNNNNNNNNNNNNNNNNNNNNNNNNNNNNNNNNNNNNNNNNNNNNNNNNNNNNNNNNNNNNNNNNNNNNNNNNNNNNNNNNNNNNNNNNNNNNNNNNNNNNNNNNNNNNNNNNNNNNNNNNNNNNNNNNNNNNNNNNNNNNNNNNNNNNNNNNNNNNNNNNNNNNNNNNNNNNNNNNNNNNNNNNNNNNNNNNNNNNNNNNNNNNNNNNNNNNNNNNNNNNNNNNNNNNNNNNNNNNNNNNNNNNNNNNNNNNNNNNNNNNNNNNNNNNNNNNNNNNNACACUUUUAAAAAGUGUUGCUAUAUGUGGGGUCGCUAGGUAUAUAGUGACAGUUAAAGAGUGUCGCUAUAACCUAAAAAAGUGCUGCUAAUUUACCAACACUUAUUUAAGCAUUUAGCAACCGCCGAAACUCUAUCUCGUUGGCUGCGAUGGCGGAGGAGGACGACAGGAAAGGCUCUUCGUCUAGAAUUUCAGUGGAUUAAGUGAAGAGAGAAGAAAAGAUGGUAAUUGAUUUUUCUUUUUUUUUUUCUUUUCUGUUUGUAAUCGGGCCAAAUGGACUGGGUGUGGUGGGUUGAGUAGAGUAAUCUUUUAUUUUUGGUUGGAUUGGGCUUUAUAUUUAGGCAUUAGUAGAUACUUUUUUAAGUUUUAGGAUAAAUGGAAUACUUACUCAAAAGUGUCCCAAACAUGUGUCCCUAUAAUCUAAUUCUGUUGUAGUGAUCUCUAGUUCCUGACUCGUCAAACCAAGUUUCAAUUUAGUCCUCAAACUUUCAAGUCCGAUGUUACAUGUCUAAAGUAUUAUUAAUUAGUAUGUACAUUUACUGUUAGAGGAUCAAUUAUUGGCCAGAUGCAGUGUAGAUAUAUAUACAUUGUGUACGUACCACGCAUUUAUUUAUCGAUCACCAAUUGCAUGCAUUACUAUUUAAUUUCUCUGUGAAGUAUUGAACUAAAUGUAUGGUAGAUCGAUAAAUUUAUAGUGUUCAGAUGACAUUGAAAAUUCGGCAUCUCUCAUAUAUAUCGUAUUAAAAAAAAUUAAAAUUCAUGCACAAAAAUUAAGUCCAGGAACUAACUAGUAGUGCAAUUUAUCUCUUUCAUUUUGGUCCCUAAUAUCUUUUAAGGUACCGAUUGGUUCAGAAAUUAAUAAGCUACUGUCGCUUAUAUAUAUCUAGUAUAUAUAGAUACUACAAUUGUGUUUGGAUGAGAUUUUAGUUUUUCUGAGUAAUAUAACAAAUUGUGUUUACAUAGUUAGAUUGAAAUGACAGGAAUAAAGAUACCUAUAUAUUUUUUUAAUCUAAAGAAACUGCUAUGAAAGUGUUAAUAAAAUUAUAGUUUGAUAAGUUAAUUAAUUAAUUAACUAUGAAUAUUAUAUAAGAUGAUGGAGAAGCACUUUAAUUAGUUAGUUAACUGUGAAAAAUAAGUUAAUAUGUUAAAUCCGUUAUAUAUUCGAUCAACCGAUAAAUUAAUUGUACAAGUUAAUAUAAAUAUUAGUUUAAUCACUACAACAAAAACGGUUUAUAGUGACACUUUUAAAUAUCGGUACAGGUAAAAAAAAAAUAUUGCUGGCUAAAUUACCGACACUUUUAGAAAGUGUUGCUAUAUGUGGGAUCGCUAGGUAUAUGGUGAUAGUUAAAAAGUAUCGCUAUAAGCUAAAAAGAAUGCUGCUAAUUUACCAACACUUAUUUAAGCAUUUAGCAACAGCCGGAAUUCUACCUCGUUGCUGUGAUGGGGGAGGAGGAGGAGAGGGAAGGGCUCUUCGUCUAGAAUUUCAGUGGAUUGAGUGAGGGGAGAAGGAGAGAUGGUAAUCAAUUUUCCUUUUUUUUUUUCUUUUCUGUUUGUAAUCGGGCCAAACGGGUUGGAUGGGGUGGGUUAACUAGAGUAACCUUUUAUUUUUUGUUGGAUUGGGUUUUAUAUUUAGGCAUUAGUAUAUUUUUUAAAAAAUUUUGGCAUAAAUGGGACACUUACACAAAAGUGUUCCAAACAUGUAUCCCUAUAACCUAAUUUUAUUGUAGUGAAUAUUUAAUAUUUGGACAAGUAUAUUAGAUAAUUAAUUAAAAAUUAGCUACUUGAUUAUAAAUAAUAAGUUAAUGCCUGCUUCUAAUAAUUAAUUAAUAAAUAAUACUUUUUAAUUAUUUAUAGCUGAAUUAGUAGAGGAAUAAAAAUAUAGAAUAGUACAUUCAUAGAAAUGCAUAACUUUUAGUUAUUUUUUCGAAGAAUAAAGGGUAUAUAAGAGACUGAUCCAAACAGGACCUAAAAGUUUGACGAUAUUAAUAAAGAUUAUCUACUUUUGUUGUCGGUUGGUCUUGUCGUGUCUUAUCUCCAAAAAGACGAUAAAUAAAAAAAUUAAAAAUUAAAGUACUGCUGUAAGUACAGAAGAAGAUUCUUCCAACAAUUACUAAAUAUAGUGAGAUGCACACGCACGUGUUUUUAGACGCACUACAAAAUGCCACGUAGAUGCUCGGGCAUUCACGGCAGGUGGAGACUGAGGUUUAAUUUGGUAUUGAGAUUCAUAUGAAACUAUUAAAUAAAAUAAAAUUGAGAUGAAAGUACAUAGUAAUAUGCUUCUGUAUUUUUCAGUGGGACCGUAGAAAAUAUAUCAUAACAGACUUAUCGCAAUAUACAGAACAUAAUAUUACGUACGAAAACAAACACGGUAUUUUUCCAUCGUACUUUCUCACUGCACGUAACGCAAUCUUCCCUCAAUUCCAAGCAAAGCCUGAGUAUGUAUACAUCCAAAUUAAUUAAGCAAUUUUCUUUCUAAGUCCUCUUAAAAUAUGAGAAUAAUUUCUUUAAUAACAGCUAUAAUAAUAUGUUAUAUUCUAAGUUAAUUUUAGGGGCUGUUUAACUGCAAACAGAUCUAAAUUCAGUAUUUAGUUUGAUGCAUUUGAAUCUAAUUGCUGUAAUUGAAACGGUAUGAGAAUGCCCAACUGUAGCAACUGGAACUAUACCUAAAUUGGUUGCAGUUCCAACUUCAGUAGUUGGAGAGAUAUGUUUACCUCUCCAAUCACUUUUUAGACAAUUUUCUUUUUUUCUACAUAAGCAGUAAUCUCACCACAACAUAUAUAAAGUUUAUAAAUUUUAAAAGUUAUUUACAAAUGCAAUGUUUAAUUUCUACUAUAUCCAACCAAAUAAGAUUUAUGUAGCCGUAAAUGCUAACUUUUUAACAAAUUUUGAACUAUGUAUUGUAUCUCUAGUUAUAUUCAAUCAAACAGUCUCUUAGUAAGCGACGUCAUUACAUGGUAUAGAGUCUAAUCCAUAAAUAAUAACUUUACGCUGAAAUGAUGUCUAAAAAAAUUUUUAAAAUUUGUACUUUUAUGUAAUAUAGAAAUCUGUGAUCAGAAUUUAUUGAUCAUAUUUUUCUCUUGUAAUGUGACAGAUAUAUAUUGCCCAACCCAUCACAUUUUCGGAGUGCGUGCGUAAUUUAAUUAACAAUAUAUGAAUAUGGAAUUAAUUCCAAAUAUAUAUAUUAUGCUCAUGAGUAGUGUUUUUUGUGCUUAGGGACAAGAUCCGCCUAAGUUGUCCAUAUAUAUAUAUUAAGGUCCCGUUUGGUUCGGGUAUAAAUUUUAUAGGUAUAAAUUUUUAUAUACUUGCUAUUCCGGGAUAGUUAAGAAUAAAGGUAAAAUUGUGUUUGGUUUGUAAAGUUGUUAUUCCUUAUAAUAGAUGAAAUUGUGUUUGGUUUGUUUUAUAGAAUAGUGAAGAAUAAUGUAAAAAGUUGAUAGGUAAAUUUUAAAAAUGCCAACUUUGCCCUUGCCUUGUGUUUACAAAAUAUGGUUUCUAUUUCAUAAUCUAAUAUAUAAAAUAAAUAAUAAAAUACAGUUCAACGGAACAAUCCAACCCAACAUGAAAUUAUGCAAAAUAUUUUCAAUUAACCAUUGCAAAAACCGAAUAGUGCAAAGUUUCCAUCACUGUACGAUGCAUCAUUUUGCAAUUAGAUGCAAUUACCAUCAAGCCAAAGUACAUCUAUACAGAGUUACAAGUUUGGAAAAAAAAAAUAACAGAGAAUUGAAGAAACAACAUAUUUAUAAUUGCUAGCUAGGAAAAAGUUAAAAAACAGAUCUGGUGAAGCAAAGAAACCAAAGUAGAGAGUCAAGUGUUAACAAUCAUACUUAGUACACUAACUUCGAAAGCAUAUGUAAAUUUGCAAAGUUACAGAAAUGAAACAAAUUAUCACAUCAUCCCGAAUAUCGUCUCUUAUCUAUUAUUCCAUAGUUGCUCCGUAAUCCUAGUACGAAGGAUGUCGCCUCGGUGAGACUCAUCUGGGCCAACUAAAUGCACGGGAUCAUCGUCUUGGUCAUCAGUGGAUAAUGGGUUCAUCUGUAAGUUGAAUUACCUAUCGGUUCCUUGGUGUCUCUUGAUGAAAUUAUGUAUCACACAACAUGCGAUGGCGAUACGACAUUGCACUUUGUAGGGAAAAGGUGUUGCUUGUCGGAGCACCUUGAAGCGUCGUUUGAGAAUUCCAAAUGCUUUCUCAAUUACGUUUCUCAAUUGAGCAUGUCGAUGAUUAUAUAAAUCUUUUGGUCCUCGAUGCCUUCGGGCAUGUGCAUUAACAGCGAAUUGGCUUAAAUGAUAUCGUUCCCCUCUAUAAGGGGCGAGGAAACGAUCAGUGUUUGCAUAUCCUGAAUCAACUAAAUAGAAUUUCCCUACAGAAAUAAAUAUUUAUUUAAAAUGAUGACAAUGAAUGAAUCACACACUACCCAUUAAAUAAAAAAUAAUAGUAUACCUUCCGGGACCGUAAAACCUCCGCUCUCGCAACACCAUCGCAGCACUCUCAUGUCUGCUGCAGAACCCUCCCAUCUAGUGCACACAAAAAGGAAUUGGUGGUCAAAGGAACAUGCCGCCAUCAUAUUUUGAGAUGUAAAUCCUUUUCGGCAACGAUAUCUUGGUUGCUUACUCUUUCGCACGACUACCGGUAUAUGUGUCCCAUCGAUCGCACCAAUUGCAUUCUGUAAUUAAUUAGUGAAAAGAGAAUAAGUAAUAUAAAAUAUCUGUAGCUUGCAUANCUCGCCUCAAGAGGCCAAGCCUCAAGCCCCCCAAGGUCUCUUUAUGUUGGUGUGUUUAAAUAUUUGGUAUUAUUGCUUUUAUAAUAUGUGUAGAGCUACUAUAUUAUUGGAAGCAUAGAGGAUCUGAUGCUUCCAACUUUUUGACCAUUGGAUCAAAAAUUAUACGAUUGGGAUGAUUGCGGUCCCCCUAGGGUUGAGUAGUACCCCUAGGGUUGAGUGGUCCCCACAGGUUAAUAGUAUUAAUCCAAAUAUUAAAAAUGAUUAAAGGGGUUGAUUUGAGGGCCAAAAAAUCGGAAGCACCAGAUCCUCUAUACUUCCGAUAGCAUAGUAGCUAUACUCUUAUAAUAUUUAUUACUUGUUAUCAUUAUUGAUGUGAUCACUUAGUACUUUUUUCAUAUUAUAUAUGUGUUAUUGUCUUAUUUUAAUAAAAUUUUAGCUAAAUAUUGAUAUUAUUUCAUAAAUCUUGCAUAUUUGCUUUGAAAAUAUAUAUUGGAUCAAGUGAGCAUAAAAAAUCAAAAGUACUUUAUUAAUCUAAAUAUGCAUAGCUAAUUUUUCAACGUCGACAAAAUUAUAGUUUGAUAUGAUUUUUUUACAUUAUAACAAAAAAGAAAACCAUUAGGGCUGUUUGGUUCGAGUUAUGUAAUAUUACAAAGUAUCUCGAUAUAUCUAGGUAUUUUGGAUUUCGGCGUGAGAUAACUACUAAUGCUGUAUUAGAGCGUUUGGUUUAAUACAGUAAUAUAAUACUAGAUUACAGUAUUUAUAGCAUUAAUAUGUUUGGUUCAGCUUAUAAAAUUUAGUAAUCCAGAGAGAGAGAGAGAGAGAGAGAGAGAGCGUUCUUGUGGAUAGUAGAAGAUAACGCAGCAGGAGGGUUCAUUAGUAGUGCUAGAGGAAGGGAGGUAAGCAGUAAAGGCAUUUUUUAUUAUAAGUUUACUGGUGUUGUUCCCGUUAAAACCUUUUUUGAUAUGAAAAUACAGUNNNNNNNNNNNNNNNNNNNNNNNNNGCCGAAUAUUCGUUUAUGGAAUGGGAAAGUUGGCUGCCAUGAAUCGGGCUCGCCGGCUCGGAUAUGGGUCGCCUGUAUAAAUGGUGCUUGGAAUAAUAGUGUGAUCUUCUGUCAAAUUCGAAAGGUUUGUGUACUGUUCUUCCAAUUAGGUCUGCUUCCUCGGUGGGGCUAAGAAUAGUAUAGAGCUCGGGCAAGAUAUAUGGGCGAUGGAAAAGGAUGUGGAUGGGUUGAAUUGCGUCGUAGUAUCACGUGGGCAGCUGUUAGGUAACAUCUGGAAGUGUGAAGAGCGUAUCUAAGGGGCGGGACGAGUCAUAAUUUGAGAUCAAGAAUGAUUAGCAGUAUUGGGCGGGGGGUGGGCAGUCGGGGUGUUUGGAAAAAGGAUAGUUGAAUGGGAGAGAAAAAAAUUAUAGUCUGGGCAGCAUGAGCGUUGUGGUGGUGUUGAUGUACACACUUAAAGAGACUUAUAACUAUAGUUCAGGGAACCAGCCGGUCAAUCCAAUUUCAAACUGUUUGGCUGAAGCUUAUAUUAAGGGCUUGGAAAUAUCAGUUGUAGUUCCACUAUGCUACGUGAGUUUGGCUCCAGGUAUUGCUCCAGGGCGGUGGAGAGGGGGGCAGGGCGAGCGGGGGUGGUGCUGGCAGGUAUCGUGUAGUAAGUUACUUGCCCUGGCCGGUGAAUUCCAUUCAGGGGAAUCUUUUGUCGCGGCCUGAUAACUCAUGCAUUGCCGGGACUUGAAUUCAUCACUGCACAUAACAUUGCAAAAUAAGUUAUCAUGGAGUGAGCAUGCGGGGGGGGGGGGAGGGCAGGUGGGGGGCGGGGGGGGCGAGUGUAGGUGCGUGAUAUGAGGGUAGGAGUAGUAAUAGGCUACGAACUCUUAACUCUCGCUUAACAUUUCUGUGGUUUGGCAGAGGCCCACGGAGCUCUAACGAGAGUACCAGCCGUUCUUAGCCACGGCGAGUAGCUCAACCGCCUAGGACUGGCUGAGCCGCGUGAGUCUGCCGACUCCUCGUGUCUGAAGUUGGAGGCGUCAUAGAAUGUAUUCCAGAGCGAAUUACUACCCAGAAGUGUGCAGAUUGAGCUCGCGACUGAGCCAGGGUCUGUGAUCGCUACGUGAGAUUAUCUCACCAUCAGCCUGGUACUUGUGAUCUGACCUGACAGCGACCCCGUCCAGGCCCGCUAAACGCCCCCAGGCGCGCUCAGACUCCUCCGACACCGCCUGUGAGACCCCAGAUAGUCCUAUAUAUGAGAUAUAAUAGGGCUAAACUCUUAACCCGGCUUAAGCAUUUUGGGUGGUGGCAAGGCCCAAGAGGUUAAGAAAGUUAAGCGUGCUAGGACGGGAGUAGUCCUAGGAUGGGUGACCCCCUGGGAAGUUGGGGCGUCACAAGUGUCUUGUAGCCAGAGUCCAAGAAGUUGAAGCUGACCUACAGGUUACAAAGAAGCAUCUAUAUAAGAAGCCGACAGACAUACAAUUACAUUGAAUUCAGCAGUAGACCAAUGAGCCAUCAUAAUUGUUUUAAAAAAAUCUUGCCUUUACAUUCAGCUGAAAUGUAGCAAUAAGUAAGCAUAGUUUAGGAUUUGAACUAAUCAAUUAACUCUUCAUUGACUGAGCAAAGUUUAGGCCUUGAACUAAACCAUCAAAACUUUGUAAAAUUGAUUCAAGGAAGGUACAUAAAUAUAACACAGCAGCAGCAGGGAGCAGGGAUGUAUACUAGAACCUCGGGUAAUCACGGUUCCCACAGCAACGGCCAAAGAUCUCGCCGCAAGUAUGGAUGGUACCACAAUUUAGUAGCCAGCAGGUAGCACAACUUCAGGGUAAAGUAUGUCAGGAAAUAUAACAUCGCUGAGGUUACAAGCGGUACAUGAGCAAAAUUAUGUCUCAUUUGAUGGCUCAGGUAUUAAAGGCUAUAGGUAUGCACAGUGGCUCCAUUAUAUAUAUAUAUAUAUAUAUAUAUAUAUAUAUAUAUAUAUAUAUAUAUAUAUAUAUANNNNNNNNNNNNNNNNNNNNNNNNNNNNNNNNNNNNNNNNNNNNNNNNNNNNNNNNNNNNNNNNNNNNNNNNNNNNNNNNNNNNNNNNNNNNNNNNNNNNUUUAAAAUUUCUAGUUAUUCUAACUAACAAUAAUCACUAAAUCAGUGAUAAUAAAAAGCUUAAUAGCCAAUUGCCAAUUAAUCUUAUGGGUUUUAAAAAUACAUACACUACAUACUCUAUAUAUAGCCACUACUAGUACCUAUCGCUGGAUAAAUAUAAAGCUGUACACUACAUACUACACAUACGUCUUAGGACAUUAAAAUUUAAACAAAUUUAAUUCCUGAAACAUAAUCUCUACCGAUAUAAACACGGACGCACGUGUUCGGCUAAAUAAACCUCUGGAUGAUCAAAAAUUUAAUCUUCCAAAACAAUUUGAUCUCAUCAAGAUUUAAAUUUGAUCUAAUCAAAUUAGAUCCUCUUCUUUUAGUUAAAUAAAAAGUAAAUAAAAAAAACUGAUUUCCGUACGGAUGCUACAGUAGCGUCCGUACGGACUGCUACAGUAAAAUCCGUACGGACGCUACAGUAGCGUCCAUACGGUGCUACAGUAUUUAUUUAUUUAUUUAUUUUUUUAAUUGUUGCUUGAAAACAAGAAACCGUUCGAUUAAAUUGUUGAUCACUUUGAUCUUUUCGAAUUAGCCAAAAACGAUCGAUAAAUCGUUCUACCGGUGGAAAAACAGUUUAGAAUACCCAAAUUUAUAAUUUUAAUCUUAAAAACAUGAGGAUGGCUCUGCUACCACUGUUAGAAAAUUGCGUACGGUAAAAACGCAGCGGAAAAAGAAAUCAAACAAAUUUGAUUUUUGAAAACCCUCGAGAUCCAAUCUCAAAAACUACGCAAUUAGGAUCCCUCAUGUCCUUUAAGAUUAAAGAAGAAAAACAAGAUCGAAUCUUUACCUUUUUCGCGGAUUGAUCUUUUCCUCAAUUUGAUGAUCGUGGAAUUCGGUUUUCUUGAAGCUGCACACGCGUCCGGCCUCUAUAGGUAUCCACACGAAGUUCUUGAUUUGAUCGAUGUCCUCACCGGGGUGCUAGCUCCCUUGCAAAAGGACGUCUUUCUUGCUAGAAGAUGGAAGAGAGAAGAGAGGAUAGAUGACGGCUUGGCUUUUCUAAAAACUCCCGUAUAUUAUAUAUAGGAAUAUAAUCCUAUUCCUAAUAAUAUAAUGACAAUUAAGGAUAAGUAUAAAUCUAGAUUUAAAUUUAUCUUUUCCUUAAUUAGUUAGAUCGAUCCAAUCCUAAUUUGAUUCGACUUGAAUUUUAUAUUAAUUUGAUCUUAUCAAAUUAAUAAUGCAAUAUUUGCACAUAAGUCCUCUUAUAANNNNNNNNNNNNNNNNNNNNNNNNNAAAAAGAUAGAUCGCGCAGAGAGAUUACAGAUCACAGAGAAACCAAAAUCCCCGACUGCUUCUCGACUCUUCGUUUGGGAUCCGGUCAACAACUUUCACGUCCCUCUCUACGGAAAGACGUGUCAGAUGCAUCUGAACAUUAACUACUCCAUUUGCAUCCAACAAACGAAGUAUAAACUUGCAUAUCGAGUGCUUUUCUCGAUUCCUAAUUCUAAUGAACAGGAUGUACAGAAUCCUUUAUCUUAUCGUCCAUGCAUGCUGCCGCACCGCCCCCCUUUAUUAAAGACGAUGUUGUAAAUUUGGAGACUGAAUCGAUCGUCUGACUUCUAGGCGAAGAACCAAACCGAGAGAUCAACAUUAGAACUACUCAGUUUGCCUAACAUUAUUAAUUUCAACUAGUAUCUUUUCUGAUUCAAUCUAACAAAGAGAAAACCUCAUAUAAAUAGGUUUAGUUAUGCCCCGAGAUGUAGAAUUUGCACGAAUCCGAUGUCCAACAUUCACAGAACCAAGAAACACUGAAUACAACAUUAGACUACUCUCAGUUGCCCACAACAGUUAUAAAUACUUUGCAAAGAGUAGCAUGUUCGUCUCGAUGCGAAAAGUGUGAGCGGAUAUCACGAUUAUGCGAGAAACAUGAGUAAAAUAUGCAGUAUGCCGCCGAGAGUGUAAAUUUGGAACGAUCGAUCAUCCGACGCAGUUCACGAAGAACCCGCUCUAAGAACAAUCCUGAAAGCAAACCUUAGCAAGUCACGAACUAGUCGCUCAGCUGUGCGGCAAGAAACCACAGACAACGUACUGCAGAUAGAUUCGCCAAUGUCAUACGAUACUCUUGACCUUUUUCAUUCAUCCACAACGUCGGGACGCGAGAGACUAAAUAGAGUGACGAGAACAAAAAGCUUCCUCUUAAUUCAUACGCCACCCCAUUGCCGCGAGAGUGUAAAUUUGGCAAGCGAACUGAUUCAAGAGAACGGUCCACCUCAAAAGAACACCAAACCUCGGCCUCAGAUUUGCGAAACCGUCUCCUUUAUGUUUCGGCUUUUCGGUGUCAAGAGAAACAAUAAUAUUCCACAUUACGCUAUCUAGCCUUACUUAAACAGCUUACUCAGGUUUCGCUCACAUACAGUAGUAAUCCUCCAGAGCACUUGCAACGAGUAGCUUCUCUCAUCCAUUCGAAACAAUAGGAGUACGAAAUACUUUCUAGUUUGAAUAGUCAGCCAGGGUCAGAUCCGAACACCUGUAAAUUUGGAACCCGAACCGAAACGUCUGACGUCUCAUCCCGCACAUGCAAUCGAGAGCCCCCAAAACCAGAACAACAGUUUAUAGUCUCAGCUGCACAGCAUGGUUUGCGAAAAGGUGGCCCCACCUUAUCAACUAGCUACUGAGGUAACAAAUUAGGUUUUCCUUCACGAAACUAAGUGAGUUCGUUUUCUAUCUAUCUCCAAAGGAUCUACAGUCUCAAAGACUACAACACGAUGUAAAACCUAAUUAACACUACAUUCUUCUAACUUCUGCUGCCGAGAGUGUAUAAUUUGGAACGAAAUCGGUUCAAGAAAACGUUCACGGCCAAGAACCUCCAACUUUCCCAAAACACCUCUCUCAAAUGUUGGUGGGUUAUAAACUCAUAAAAUUUCAUUAGAGCUGUUCUAACAUUCAGACCUACAUGCAUGUCACACAGUUGCUGCACCCAACAACGUAGCUCGGGCCAUGUAUAGCGUAUCAAGCUGCGCCGCAUACACACGCAGGUAGAACCGCUUUUUUCUAUUCUAUUGAAACAUGGGAGUAAAAAUCUUUCCCUAUUAUGCCGCCGACGAGUUGUAAAUUCUGGGAAAGCGAAACGCUACGUCCGACCGUUCGAACGGCGCAACUGAAUUCGCCGGCGGGGAACUGCCAACAAGAACAGACAUUAUAGAGCUAUCCUACUCAGGACGCGCCCAUAAACAGUAUAAGGCAUUGCAACGAGUACUCACUUCUUUCACCAUUGCGGACUCAGAUGGACAGAGGGUAAAAGCUGCUCUCCGUAUCUACCAUGUCCCUCCAGCAGUGUCACAACUAUGCUACCGGAACGAUCGAUUCGAUGUCAACGUUCAAUAAAAGCCUAAAUCCGGAACAACGUUAGAUUAGCUACCAGUGCUCGCGUAUAUGCCAGCUCUGAAGGUUUCUUUUCUCAUCGUAUCCAAGCGAUCCCGAAUCCAUCGGAUGAUACCAUAAUAUUCUAUUGACUGCCUCCGCGACGCCUCGCGAAGGACCGCUGUGACUAUAUUGGAACAAUCGACGUGGCGACGUUCACAAGAACCAAAACGAGAACAACAUUAAGAUCUACUGCCCAGUUUGCCCGCCGUCGAAUCGACACAAACAUACAUCGCUUGUGAGCUCCAACUAGACAUAGAUGCUCCUUGUUUCUCUGAUCGUCAAUGCUAACAAAGAGUCAUAUAUACCACGUAGACCUUAAAAUUGUCUCCUAAAUUUAAUGGGUCAGCGACAAGCUGCUCCCGCCUUCCGAGAGGCACAGAUAUCCUGGGCAUAUGCCGUAAACUCGAGACUCUUCAACUUAAGGCUACUCGACUCCCGCAGAGAAGCGAGGCCGUAACCAAAACGCGUAACAUACAUUAGACUACUCAGUUGAGCACCACAACAGUAUAACAUUGCAACUAGUACUUUUUCUCAUUUAUUGAACAUUGGGAGUAAAAUCUUCUAUUUAUGGCCCGCGCGAAGAGUGUAAAUUGGAAAACGAACGAGGAGCAGACCCGAUUCACACGAAACGUUCAGACGCUCUUAGGCAUUGCAAGUCCAUGCGACAAAGCAAAACCCAAAGCAAUCACGACAUAUAGACUUAUCUAUCUCAAUCAUCACAAGAGACUUUUGCCUGGCAGACCCAAAUCACAGCAGUAUAACUGUGCAAAAACAUAAAAGUAGCAACGACUGUCUUUCAUUCUAUCGAAACAAACUAGAACAGGGAGCAAAGCGAGAAAAGUCCAAUGUUCUAGCGGGUAUGAGCGCCGACGCAAGAUGGAUGCAUCAGUUCUGGACCGUUUAGAACGUUUCUGGCGUUCGUACAGCGAAUCCGACACUUCGACAACAUUCACAAGACCCAGCUACGAGCCGAGAAAGGCUACGUACACUCUGAUCCGUCCUCUAUAUCACAACACAGGGAACGGGCAGAGGACACACACGAAACAUUUACGAACCCAAUGCAAAUUCACUUCGCCAACCGCCGAUGUCAACGUUCACCAUGAUCACGUCCCCUAUACCCUUAGGGUUUAGCCAACCUACUGGUCCCUCACAGGUACUAUCACAAAAACAGACACUCUUUACUUGCUUCGGUCUGUAUAACUGAUAACCACGAUUAGUCUGUCCGACCCCCCGACGAGGCCCCGCGGGCCGCCCCCGUCCACUUGGCAAACAAGUCAGCGUCUUUCUACCAUGUCUUAUAGUGAGAUCCAUGUAGCGAGUAGAAAUCCUUCUAUUAGUCCGCCCUCCCGCGGAGUGUGAAAUUGAAGCGAAUCGAGAGCCUAGCUCCGACAUUGUGUCCGACCAGCUAAGAGCGCCGGGCGGUCGAACAGACGCGCAACCGAAGCGGACAGGAGACAAUCACCCACUGUCACAAUCAACAUUAGACGCAAGCUAAACCAAAAAUCUUCGAUCAUUAUAUAGUAAUUUACCACUCAUCAUUGCAGACCCAAAAAUAUCGCAAUAGAUAGAAGCAUCAAUCAAGCGAGUAUCUUUUUCUGCAUAUCUGAUACUAAUGACGCAUCCCGAGCACAGUACAGCAGAAACGCACGUAACGACAGAGCAAGAAUUACAAGUAGGAAGUUAUACCAGCAUACACCGUAAAAAAAGAAGAACGACGUAUAUUUCAUUAAUCAUUCCCUAUUCUUUAAAUCUUAUAUAUAUAUGUCAAUCUCUAGCAAGAGGGUGUGAAAUUUUGGAUACGGUAAAUGCAAUGUUCAGACGUUCACGCAAGAAACCUCUUUACAUUCUUCAUAAUAUAGCAUAAUGAACCUAGGCACUCAAACAACAUUUCAGCGACUACCGCUACUCAAUUAGGCAGUCAACAUCUUCUAGGAAUAAAAUCUCUAAAUCAAAAAAGGGUGCAGGGCUAAUGCAUAAGGGAGGUAGCUCACAAAUCAGAGACGAAACACAGGUUGAGCAAGCGCAGUACUGAUUAUUCUCAUUCUAUUCAGGACAUGGAUAAAAUGCUUCCUAAUUAUAUGCGUGUGCCUGCGCCUUGUAAGAAGCUGAUAAGAUAUGGAACGAAACAACGAUCCUCACGCUCAACGUCGACCGUUACAAAUCCGGAAGCGACUUGAAACCUCCCCGAAAAGACAGAACCUGACAAAGAGUGGGUAGAGAACAGAACAACAAUUAGAACUACCAGUUCGCCAAAAAACAGUAUAAACAUUGCGCCAUAACGAGUAGCUCUUCUUAUUCUAAUCGAAGCAAAGCGGGUUAUAAAACUUGCUAUUAUCGCACCCCGAGAAGUGUAAUAUUUGGCAACGAUUCGAUUGUCAUAACCGUUCACCAAGAACUCAAAUCGGAACAAGCGUAGACUACUCAGUUGAGUCUAACAUAUAAAUUGCAACUAGUACUUUUUCCUGUUCAAUCGAACAAAGCCGACCCAAACCUAAUUAUAUUGUUCUAUUAUGCCCCGGAGAGUGUAAAUUUGGAACGAUUCGAUCGUCAAACGGUUCAAUGAAAUAAACAAAAUCGGGAUAGCAACGUUGUCUUGUUCGUGAACUAACUUUUUAGUCCCAGUAGGGUCGGGGCCGCCGACUCCAGCCGAAAUACACUCACUAGGUCCAAAGCGGCAAAAGAGAUAACCGGAUAUAUAGAUGGAUAAGGAAAGCUUAAAGACACGGAAAGUAAAGCUACACUACUGCCCAAAAUCAUAGAUAACAUGAUGCAUGUUCAAAUAAAACGGUAAGCAACUAACCUGUAUCGAUGGUCAAGGGUAAAUCUAUGUACUUGUCAUCAAUCUCAUUACUGUUCUUAAUCUCGUGGCUUUCCUCUGAUGGUAGCCACUGCUCAACUUAGCCAUACUCGAAAGGAGUGAGGUCAACUCGCACUAUGGUAACGAAUCCAACCGAGACCGGUCGUACGGGCCUAAAAUAGGCAAUCCUUGGACCCAAAUAGGCAAUCCCACGUGACCAAAUCCAGGAGCGCACUACUUGUGUGGGCUUUCCCACACAAGAUUUAAAACGGACCGGACAUGAUCCCAAUCCUCGUCUCGAUAAAAUACCCUUAUCCUCAGGGUUACAAUCAUUACAUAUAGCCCAUAGGUCACAUAACACUACGAACCAUAUGUGUCAUUUGUUCUUUUGCUUACUGUAUCAACGAAUAUGCCACUGCGCCAUUGUUUUAAUCCGUCUAGGAUGCCGACUGUCGUUCUUGUGCAUCAUUAAGCCCACCAUUGAGCCCAUCACUUUCUCUGGCACUAUAGGAUUCACAAGGUCUCGACCCAAUCCUUAUCAAUCCACUAAUAUAAGUACCAUGCAUGCUACCGAUAUCAUCAAAAGAAAGCAUAAGUGAAAGGCAAUGCACAAUCAUCCUAAAUUAAUGCAAUAAUACUAAUUCAGAAUCGAAAUCGUACUAAGGCCCUGUUAGGAUCGCGGGAUCACACAAAAAAAAUUGUGAUUAGCGCAUUCAGUUUUGCCGCUGAAAUCAAAUAAAUUGCUGCAAACUUUAGCGCGCAUUAAGCUUUAAUGCCGAUUAUAACCGUGUAUGUAAAUCUCUACCUGGCAUUAUAAAUAGAUUGCCGUUAAAUGUUCAGUAAUUAGUGACAUUAAAAAAAUGCGUCGUUUAUAUGAGAUACUAUUACCCUGACAUUAAUCUAAAUCUUUGUAUUUGUUAGUUAUUCCGGCACCUAAUAAAAGAUGGCCGAAAUAUUAUUAUAUAAUAUUGCAAAUUAUAUAAAUGCUAUAUUUAUUUUUUAUUCCAUAUUAACUAAAUCCGGUAAUUCUUAUUAUUUGUAAAUAUAAAUUAUUAUUUAAAUUAUUAUGCCUUCCUUAAACAGAAUAAAAAUUAAUAUAAACAUAAUACAUUUACUAUCUAUAUUUACAUAAUAUUAAAAAAUAAUAGAGUUAUUAAAUAAAUAUGAUUUUAAGUAUUUUCAUAUAAAUAGAAAAUAUAUGCAUUGCAUAAGAAAUAAACACAAAUUAUUUAAUAAGUCCCAUUCCCAGUAAUAAACAGAUAAUAAUUAAAAUCUUGUAAUACAUUCAACAUUCAAAAAAUAACACAAGAAGCACGAAAAUUUUCUAAACAUCAAAAUUAAUAAUGCAUAAGUAGUUGCCAACAUAACAAAAUAAGAGUUGGCAACAUCAAAAUAACGCAGCCAAAAACAAAACUGGUCACGAUCACAUAAUAAUAGUUUCGAUAUAACAAAAAAAUAUGUUUGCGAACACAGUUGUAGAAAUAAGCAUCCAACAACAAAUGGUCACAUGGACAUAAAGUAGAUUGCGAACAUAAAUCAAAAUAGCCAUAAAAAUGAUUUAUAUUUCUUGAUAUCCAUGCAUCUUACUUACGUGACCGUGAAAAAAUAAAACACAUUAAAAGUUAUAUUUAACGAGUCAAUAAUCUAUAUUAGAUGAUAAAAAUCAAAUUAAAAUAUAAAAUAAAAUAAAUCUUAUACAAAUUAAAUUGGCCAAGCCACAGUUCUCCGACGCAUCCCAAUUGUUUGAAAUUCGAUAGAUUCUUAAUAACGGCUCGUAUAGGUCUCUAUUGAACAUUUAUUGAAACACUCCCAGCAUUGAUGAUCCAAACUCGGCGCCACCGUAUUUUAGUAGUUGGAUUUGUGCUCAACAGAACCUUGUGCACAUAAUGUGAGGCUUUCUUAAAACUCUUUAUAUACUCAAUCAACCCCUGAUAUUCAGUAAAGAAUAAAGAAAUAUAGUUUAAUUUUAAAAAGUUAAGACUAAUGCAUUAGUUAUCAAAUAUAUCACAAUAAUAUAUCGAAAAAUAAAGAUUAAAACAGAUAUUGGAAAUAAUAUUGAACAUAUAACUAAAAAAUAAAAAUUGAGAUUUUGUAUGCAUAAGAAAUCAAGAAACAAGAAGAAUCAAAAUAAUAAUAGAAAAGAUAACCCCAUUAUCUACGCAAGCAUGGACAUCCUUUCCAGCACUUUUGCUCGAUAACCCUUGCCAUUCAAAUAUCAUAAUGUUGACAUCAUAUGGAUCUACUGCAUAUAAUAUUUUAUACAAGAAAUAUUAAAAAUAAUAAAAUAAAUUCAACCUGAUUUCGGAACCUCAAAGCCAAUUCAGAAGAAUUGGAUUUCAUUACUUGCGUUCUACGAAGGGAAUUUAAUUGCCAUUCUACAAAGAAAAAAGAAUACUGAUUAGAUGAUCUAUCUCAUAAAUUAAAUUAGCCUUUUUAUAAAUCAAAAUAAACAUAAAAUGAUCAAACUCGCAAUUUACUUGCACUUGCCUAUGGAUAGAUGUUCCUAUUUGGAUUAUGAUGGGAAUUCUCUACCUUGCAAUCAUAUUCAAGUCUGUGAUUUUUUUCCAUUGUUCCCAACCGUUUGCCCGUCAAUCAUCGACAUUUCUUCCUCAUUAUCAAUAAUCCUUUGCAUUACAUGUUCUCUGGCUCAUCUAUCCUUAGUUUCAAAAGCAUUUAGCAUUCAGUUCGAGUUGGAUGGCGGCCAAGACCUUCUCUCUGAGGAGCAACACCUCAAACCCGACCAACCGAACCUAAUUUCACGUUUUUCGCUCCUCUAAGCCAUCACUUAAAAAUACUCGAGAUGUAUCUUUUUGUGCAACUUCUGGAUGAUGAGAGAAAAUUUUGUUAUUGCAACCAUACAAAAAAAGACAAAAUGAGAGAAUACUAUUUUGAGAUAAUAGAUAUAAAUUUAAUGUGUUAAAAACAUAACAAGUUUGAACUUCGCAGCUUACAGAGCUUGCCAAUUCUUUUUAGUAUGCGUUUUUAUAUAUAGUAUCAUGUCUUUUAGGUGCAACUUUAUCCACUCGUCAUCUAGUAACAUGCAUAGAAAGUUAGUUUGUGUAAGAAAAAUAUAAUAACAGAAUUAAAUACAAAAUUUGAAAUAGGAUAUCGAUUCCCAUAACCUCCUGACACGAAACCUUGCAAAGCUCUUGUGCCUGCAUAUCUUGAAUCUUCUUGCUUCGCACGAGUAUCUUUAUUUUUUGCACUACGUUCCUACAAUAACAAAAGACAUAUAAAGACUUAAAUCCCAAACAGCAACUAGAAAAUUACAAUAUGAAUAUAUAUAGAAAUGUCUAAUCACUAAUUUGCAGUUUUCACUUGCAUAGAUACGAUAAUUCAAAUGAAAACAUAUCAAAAAGCACACAAAAUUCUAAUAAUUAAUUCUUAAUGGCCAACACGCCGAUCAGAAUUCCCAUACUUGACAAGAAUUCGCAUUCAUGAUAAGCCGCGUGAAUCACGGUCUGGCUAUCUUUCCAGCUAAAUGGUAGGUCGUAGUGGGCAGUUCUUCAACAUCCAUUUUGAACUCUCUCCAAUUUUUUCCAAUCACAUCAAUAACCCAUCUCCUUCCUUUCGUCUGGAAUUUUGAACUUUUUCUGCAUUAAAAGAUUAGAUAAUAGUUGCAAAUAUCAAUAAUACAAAGAAAUCACUAUAAAUAUUAGUAAUUCUACCUGUAUCGAUGUUCACAUAAUUUUUAUCUGUAUUUGGAACAGUCUCGCCAAUCUCUAUGACUAAGAGAGUUAUUUGCGCAUUUCUCGGCUAUGGAGCCCCAAAAAAUUGCUAAGAUGUGCUGAUUUCCCAAUCGGUUGUCCAUUAGCAUUGAAUUUGACCUUCAUAGGUUUUGUCCUUUUAAACAGUUUUGAGCAACAUUGUACCCCUCGCUAUUCUUUCGAUGCAUUGUUGAACCUACUUAAUUGAAAAAAUUAUAUAUCAAGAGAAUCAUACCUAAUAAUAAUUGGACAACCUUGAUAAGAUAUAUAAUCACAAACGUCAAGUCAGUAGAUGUAUAUAUACAGUAAGAGAAUAAAAAAUGUAGCCAAGCUCUCCGCAUUUGCCUUCUUCUCAGAAUCACACAGAGUCAUCCGUUCUUCAGAAUAAAUUUUCUUCAAAAGUCAGCUGCGAAUUAUUAUUUUGAUCGCCUAGAAAUCACCAUGUAGAAAAGUGCGACUAGAAUCUGAUUAAGCGGGAGUUCAUGCAUGAAUGAAGUAAUCAAAAGAAGGUUCAAUGAGAAUACAGUUGGAAGCAUUGAGGCGACGAAGCAAUGAAACAAGCUAAUUUGGCUCCAUGUAAGAUUUGUAACAUAAUUGUAUCUUUCGUUUUUGGGAGACAGAUUUUUCUUUCAGCCAUGAUUUGGUUCAUUCGUCCAGUCUCAACUUUGUUGAAUGAUUGAUAGUUCCGUUGAUAGUUGGGGACCGGAUUAUCUUGGCGGCAAAUUUGAAACCCAACUGAGAAAAAUACAUGUAUGAAGGUUGCUCGGCCAAGGUUUUGAUCUGGAUUUGGUAAAGAUUGUCCUAGUUAAAAGCAUUCAUGUCAUACCUCCUUGAUUGGAGAUGGGUCGCUGUGAAACUUUCUCUUUACCAUUCUUAUUCUUCUUGGAUUCCUUGUAUUAAACAAAUUUCAAGAUAUAGCAAAUAGUUUUAUCAAGUUCACAUGAAAGAAACUCAUAUAAUGAUUAAAUAUCGUAACAACUGUGGAUGAGCUCACAAAGAAUCAUAUAAAAUAGUAAAAGUGUGUAACAUAUAGAUAUCACAUAAAAUCAAAUAUGAAUACACCUAAAUUAACGAUGGAGCCAUUUAACGCAGUCGUCAUGUCAAUUAUGAGAGCUUGCCGCAUCAUGAAAAGUAUUGUUCCAAUCACAUACAUUAUUAGAGGAUGGCAAUUGUAAUUCAGGGCACGUCAUCAAUUUCUAUCAAUUAAAUUCUUCCUUCUGCUUCAUUUUGCUAGUACCGAUAUAUUUUUCUAAAUGUAGCCUCUAUGUCAUUCUGUCGAAACUUCUGUGUCUGCAAUAUCAAAAAAGCUCUAUGGCUUUGUAUAAUAACAACUUCCAAUCUUCCUCGACGGGGUCCUUGUAUGUAGAAGACGUGUUUGCUACAAGCUAGUAUGAAUGGUCAUCCUAACAUUGAGUCACUAGUAAAUAAUAGUCGAUUGAAAUUUACUAGCGAAACCCAAAAUCAGCUUUUCUCACUUCUCUUGGCCAUAGGAGUGAAUAUCGCCCAGUCACAUUGAACAAUGUUUAUUUUGAGGAUGUUGCUCGAUAGUAAUUUACUCCCAUAAUAAUCAUUAAGAAACCAUAGUAUGUAACAUCUCCUGCUACUGGAUUUGGUCUUUGUGCAUGGCAUAACUUUGAUGUACAGCACGGACGGACAAUGCCACUAUUUUGAUUUUCUAUUUGCUUCACAAAUCUUUAGUGUGAAACUAAAAGCAUUUUUAUCACAUAACUUAAAUCUCCUGUGCUCUAAUUAGGGCCUCAGGCCAAUCACAUGAUUUCUGUGGAAACAGCUCACUCGUUGACAUCAACUAAUCUGAAAAUUUAACACAUAAUUGAUGUGAUCAUUAGUACAUUUCUAAUACACUAUAGAUAUCACUUCAAACGAAUACAGCUGUAACAUGUUAACUUACAUGCUCUUUAAACCAUAUAUAAAUGCUCACUGUGAUACGCUCAUUGCUUCCUAUUCGCAUCAUGUCAGACGAUUCGAACUCUGAUCAUGUCAAUAAUUUUCUACAAGUUAAUGUAACAAAAAGCUCGUUUAGAAUAUCUAAAAAUAAUAAGCUAAUAGAAAUUAUUUGGUUAUUGACUAUCAUUAACUGAAGGUACGUGGUGGAGAUACAGCAUCACAAUUGAAGAGCACAUAGCGAUGUGCUUUGCACUCACGAAGUUUCAUCAAAGAUAAGACAUGCUCACAUGUCCGCUAAUUGGUAAUAGACCUUUUGAUGAUAAAAGGAACACAUGGUUGCUUUUCUAAUUCUAACCCGUCCCUUCAUUGUUCGUUUUGGGCGAUUUAAUCUUGGUUUCAACAGGCCAUUGAAAAAUGUGAAGCAAAAUGUAAACUUUCUUCGCCAAAUACCCCUUCAGCAAUUGACCCUGUCAGGAGGAACUUCGAUACGCACGUAUAAUGUUCAAGUUGAAAGAAACCUAGAAAACAAUUUAAUAAGAUGCAUAUGAGUAAUGUGUAGUCUCUAAAUAUGUAAUAAAUCAUAAUAUGGUAGAAGAAAUAUAUUUGCUUAUGAAUUACAUCAUAUGAAAAAUAUGGCCCUAAUAAGAAAUAAUUAAUUAAUAUUUUAAGCAUUCAGGCACCAUUCAUUUCAAAUAUAACUACAGUUCCAAAACAUUGUCUAAAUACACUUCACCUAGAAGACUUGUUGAUUAAUAUUUAAGUACCUUUCAAUAGGAUACAUCCACCGAUAUUGCACGCCUGCAAUCCUUGCUUAUAUCUAAUGUAUAGCCAAAUGAACAUUAAUCAAAAAAAGAUGGGGAAGAUAUCGCUUCUAAAUUUGCAAAAGUUUCAAUGCAAUUGAGUUUCUCCAGUUGUUGAAUUCGUUUCCUCUAAUAGAUUUGAGCAAAUUUCUCGGUGAAAAAGCUACUAAUUCCAUGAAAUUCAAGCUCACAUUUCUUAGGCAAAAAACUUCGCACGCUACAAGGAAGUAUUGUGCCCUGCAUCAAGAUAAUGGUUAUCAGACAUUUUUAGCCUAUAAUUUUUUGAAGUAGAAGUUAGGUAUAAUCCUUUAGAUUGCAACACAUUUUGAAAUAUUGUCUUGCGUACCAGUCAGGAACUUGACUUCGACUUCAGUAUUGAAGAAUAUCUUUUCUUCAUAGAAAGUGAGUUAGCAAGCAAAGGAAUUAAAGUUUUUGUUCCAUUUUUGCCUUUAAAUGAAGUGAGCUCCCGAUCCCCAUAAGUUGGCAAAUCAAGACGAGUUUAAUAAUUCUUUGUUUUGCCAUCAAGUGCCUCAAUAUUGUCCAAAGCACAUUAUCACUAAUAUUUUUCUCAAUGUGCAUUACAUCUAGAUUGUGACGUAGAAGGAGCUUUUCCCAAUAUGGUAAGGAAAAAAAUAUACUUCUUUUCUUCCAAGAAUGAGGUAAAACUUGUCUUUUACCUUUCUUUCUCUUCCCUUUAUAACCACCAUCAUUUUUCUUACCAAAUAUAUUCUCAAUGUCCUUCAUUUGAUUUAAUAGUUUAGAGCCAGAUAAUGGAACAGGUGCAUCUCUAACUUCUUGGUUCCCAUCAAAAGAUAAUCUAUCACGUCGAAAUUUGUGGUUCUUUUCUAAAAAUCUACGAUGACCCAUAUAGCAUAAUUUUCGACUGUGUUUUAGAUAACGAGAAUCAGUAUCUACAUUACAAGAAGGACAUGCCAAUCGUCCUUUUGUACUCCAUCCUGAUAAAUUUGCAUACGCAGGAAAAUCACUAAUAGUCCACAAUAAUGCGGCAUGCAUUUGAAAAUUUUGCUUCAUAGAGACAUCAUAAGUGUACAGACCAUUCAACCAAAGAUUAUUCAACUCAUCUAUUAGCGGUUGUAAGUAGACAUCAAUAUCAUUUCCAGGUGCAUUUGGGCCAGGGAUAAGCAAAGACAUUAUCAAAUAUGGUUGUUUCAUACACAUCCAUGGUGGCAAAUUAUAUGGUAUUUUACUGGCCACGUGCUAUGCGAUGUACUCAUUGAUCUAAAAGGAUUGAAGCCAUCACUUGCUAAGCCAAGCCUUACAUUGCGAGGUUCUAAAGAAAAUUCUGGGUGUUGAAAAUCAAAAGUUUUCCAUUGUGGAGAAUCAGCAGGAUGUCUCAUAACUCCAUCAUUACUUCGAUGCUCAUGAUGCCAUCUCAUUAAUGAAGAAGUUCUUGAUGACAUAAACAACCUUUGUAGCCUAGAUUUUAUAGGAAAGUGUCUUAAAACCUUUGCUGGAAUUUUUCGAGUUGCUUUUCCAGAAGAAUUGGAUGUAUCAAGUUCUACAUUACUGUCAUUUGCUUUCCAUCUUGAAGUACCACAAAUGGCACAUGAAUCUGCAUUUGCUGUAGCCUUAUAGUACAAUUGACAGUCAUUUGGACAAGCAUCGAUUUUAUUGUAACCUAAACCAAGGUCAUUAAUAAUUUUUUUUGCUUCAUAGAAAGAAUCUGGUAGCGUUUCACCCUCCGGGAGCGCCUCUUUUAGCAAAAAAAGUAACAUUGUAAAUGAAUUAUUGGUCCAUCCAUUUAGACACUUUAUGUGAAAUAAACGAACAAUAAAUGAAAGUUUUGAGAACUUCUUGCAACCAGGAUAUAAUUCUUUCUCAGAAUCUCCAACUAGUUUGUAAAAUUUUUUAGCUUCUUCAUUAGGAUCUUCAUUUAAAUCUUGUUCUUGUGUUGCUAUCUCCUCUUCAACUACAUCAAACAUACCAAAUGCUUCAUUUAGCAUACCACGCAUGUCAUCAUUUGUGUUAAGAUUAUCAUAGUUGUAUGUUGAGGACGGUGAUGUAAUAUCUUCUCCAUGAUAAAUCCAAGAUGUGUAUCCUUCCAAAAAGCCAUCACAUAUUAAAUGCUCAAGAACAGUAUCCUUAUUUUGCCAAAAACAAUUAGCACAUCUUUUGCAAGGGCAAAGAAUUGAUCCUUCUCGGACUGCUUUGAGAAAUGCAAAAUCAAGAAAGUUCAAAACUCCAUCAAGAUACUUCUUGCUCACCCUAUAUUUAUUUAAGUGGAUGUGGGUUGAUAUGUCAAAAUAAUAUAUUUCAAAUAAGGCCAUAUUUUAUAGCUUGAAAAGUAGUACUAAACCAAACCUGGGUUCAUUCAUCCAACUCUUAUCCAUAGAUUGAUGUCUAAUAUGCUGGCAAAUGGACCAAAAAAUUCCUUGCUAUCCUAAUUAAACAAAACUAUUAGCCCAAAUUUUUAAAAAUUUGAAAAUUAAAUUGCAUAAAAAGUUGGAUACCAAAGAUUAAAAAUUAAAUCUAAAUCACAAUUUAAACUCAAAUUUAAAUUUUAAUGUAAAAUAGAUGAAUCGAAGUCCUAUUUUUUAACAAAUUGAUUAUAAUUGUUUAUUUUUAUUUGAAAUGUUUUUAAUAAAUUGAUCAUAACUAUUCGCAGAAUUGAUUUUAUCGAUAGAUUUGAAUGUUUUUUUUUUAACAGAAUCGAUCAUAACCGUUCGUUCUUAUUUAAGAUAUAUUUUUUUUUACAAAUUGAUUAUAACCAGUAAAUAUUCUUUUAUUCAUUUUCAUUCCAUUUGUUAUUUUUAUAUGCUUUUAUAUAUAGUAUAAAUAUAGAUAGGAAUGCUAUUUUUUAAUAGAUAGAUAAUAACUGUUCAUUUUUAAUUUAUCGCAAUCGUUUGUAAACUCGAUAUAAAUUAAAAUUUUAACAGAUUUGUCAUAACCGUUCGUUUUUAAUUCAUCACAACUGUUGAAUAGUUCAAAUUUUAUACCCAAAUUAAAUUUAAUUUUCAAUUUAAACUUUUUAAAUUUAAAUUUAUAAUAAAUUUAAUUUUUGAUUUAGAUUACAAUUUUAACAGAUUGAUCAUAACCGCUCGUUUUUAUUUAAAAUAUUUUUUAACAGAUUAAUCAUAACCAUUUAUAAAAUUUGAUAUGUUGAUAGAUAAGAAUGUUAUUUUUUAAUAGAUUGAUCACAAUCAUUUAUUUUUAUUUAAGAUAUUUUUUAACAACUUAAUUAUAACUGUUGGUAAAGAAUAUUUUUUUAUUUUUUUAAUUACGUCUGUCAUAAUGUCAUUAUAGUAUAGAUAUAAAUAAGUAUGAAGUGUGAAGAAAAUUAUUGUUAAAUAAGUUAUUAGAUAAGAUGGAAUAUAGAUAUUAUGUAGGCAAUAGUUAUUAGGAGAUAGAGUGCGUGUAUAAAAGGUAAAAUUUGAUACACACUGCGUGAGAGUAAUUUAGGUAAAAAAAUUGACAAAUACAUAAUUCGUCAGUCAUUGAAUUAGAUUCAACGACUAAAAAUUAAUAAAUUUUAUGAUAAUUUGAAAAUAAAAUAAAAAUUAUAUUUUAUAAAUAGUAUAGAUAUAUAGUAAAGAGUUACUAUGUUAUCGGAAGUAUAAAAGAUUUAAUGUUUUCGAUUUUUUAACCCUUAGAUCAAGAAUUGUACAGUUGGGAUAAUUGCGGUCUCCGCUAAGAUUGAGUAGUACGCAUAGUUAGUUAAUUCGGAUUCGGCAAAAAUUCGGUAAAGGUAUAAUUCGGAUAAAAUUCGUCUUCUAAUUUUUAAAUUCGUUGAAAAAAANNNNNNNNNNNNNNNNNNNNNNNNGUAUUCUUCGAUGCUUGUGUUGAACCUACUUAAUGAAAAAAAUAUAUAGCAAGAGAAUCAUACCUAAUAAUAUAAUUCGACUAAACUUUGAUUAAGAAAUAUAAUUCACAAAACUUUGAAUAGUUCUUUUUUCCAAAUAGAAAAUUUUCUUUCAUAACCAAUAGUCCAUAUAAAUAUACUAAUAUUCUAAUUUACAAAAAUUACCAUAUUACAAUAUAAAGAGAUUCUUCUAUACUUUAUUUUUCUUUUCUCAUCGCCGUCCUUCUUUACUCAAUCAACAGUUGAGAUCUAUGGAAAUGACCGGCUAUCCAUAUUAUAAUUUGGUUUAGAUUUGUAGUUAUCUAAAUUAAAAUUAAAUCAUAGUCUAAUUAGAAUAAGAUAUAAUUUAGAUUUAAUUUGGCCUAGAUUAUAAGUAGUAGUAUAACUCUAAUUGAAUUAAAUUAUAAUUACACUUGUGUUUAGAAGCUAUGUAUUAUACAUAUAUGUUAUGGCCAAACUAAUGAUGUCGUGACUUUAAUUAAGCCAUGCAUGUAUUGGAGAGAGGUGACCGAUUUAACCAUUUUGUUUUGGUCUGCACGAUGGAGAGCCGGAACUCAAAUUGGAAACUAUCCUCUAAUUAAUUAAUCAAAAGGUGAGAAGGCCGUAUGGAUUUCUUCUUUAGGGUGCGUCGUUCCGAGUCGGAAUGUAUUGAAGGACAUAUGUGAAGUGCCGUAUGCCGGAAAGCGCAGCGAAUAUAUUUAUUUUGGUUUUGGGGUGAGCCGAUCCUAGUACACCUGAAAAUAUUUAGUAUUUAUAGAUCCUGAUGGAUUAUAAAAAAUUUAUAGUUAAUAAAAUAAUACUUUUCAACAUAACAAAGAAAAAAAAUAAAAAAACGUCAAAAUCCCUCUAUAUGGCAUAGAAAAAUAAACAUAUAUCGUAACGACUAAACAGAAAAUAAAUAAGAAACUUUUCUUUUCAGAUAUAUCCUAUGAUAUUCUAAUACUAUAUACUAUAAAACUUCAUUAAAAUCUAAUUUUUUUUAAAAAAAUCAUAAAAAUAGAAAAAUAAUACUAUUAGAUAUUUCUUAGAUUAUAAAAAUCUGUAAAAAGAUUAAAGAUAGCAUACCAGAUUACACCACGAUCAGAAAUAAAUAUGAUGGCGACUUAACCCUAAAAAGAUGAGGAUGAGGAGGAAGAUGAUCAGGACUAAACCCUAAAAGGAUGAGGAAGAAUAUAUUUGGGAUUAAACCCUAAAAGGAUGGGGAGGAAAAUAUUUGGGAAAAAACCCUAAAAGGAUGGGGAGAAAAUGAUCGGACGAAACAAAAGGGUGAGGCAGAAGAAGGAGGCGGGAGGGGAAAAUAUUGGGAAUCCACAUAUUUAGAAUUUAAGACCUUUUACCAAUAUUUAAGUUUAAAUGCCGGUAAUUAAAUACUCUUAGCGGCACUAAAAUUAACUGCCGAUAUUUAAAUUAUCUUUUAUCGGCAUUUAAAAAUAAAUACCGCUAAAUAUUAUUAUUUACCAAUAAUAAAUUAUAAAUGUCGAUAAAUGAUAUAUUUAGCAACAAUUCUUUGUAAAUGCCAAUAUAUUUUGCAUUUACCAAUAUUUAAAUAAAUAUUGCUACAAAUAAUGCCGCUAUAUGUCAAAUUUCUAGUAGUGAAUACUUCGGUGUUGAUGGAGCGGGGGGGUCUGAGUCGCAGAUCGGGUGGAAAGGCGAGCCCACGACCCGGCGGGCGCUGGAUAGUGCGGAGAAGAAGGAACCGAGAACCGCUUACCCGUUAUCUGGAGUUCAUGGACCAGGAGAGUCCCAGCGGAGGCCCAUCAACCACCAAAUAGCAGCCUAGCAAGCCACAUUCCGAUUUACUAUCACAUUUGCUGUUUAGUCCUUACUUAGUUGCUAAUUUCCUUUCAGUACUGAUAUGAUAGGUAGUAUAAAUAGCCAAAAUGUAAUGUAAUCGGGUUAUGAUGAAAUAUAUUACAAGUUCUUCUUCCCCAAUUCCUCUCUUAUUCUCUAUCUCUCUUCUAUCCCUAACCCUCUCAACUCUCCUCCCUUCUCUCUUCUUAUCCUUCCCAAUUCUCCCAAACUUCACCUUCUAUUUCCCCUAAUUCCUCACAUUACUUGCAAUCAUAAGAGUUCCCUAGCUCGGAAGCUCCCAAUCAUCCUCUCCGCCGUACCGGCCUCAGCGAGAGCUCAUUAUCGGCGGUUGCCGAUCGUCAGGGUCCUUACAACUCGGUAUGAGAGCGGCACCAUCCCAGGGGCUGUGGGGCGACUAGCUUCAACAGUCGCGAGACUAUGGGAGGCUCAGCAACUGUGGGGAAUUACUCCGAGCAAUUGGCGUGCACGAGCAUCGGACCUCAGCUAAGCAUCACAGGCUCCUCGGUAGAGUUACUGUAGCAAACCUUCAUACCGUUUCAAGCAAACAGGGAGCAUACAGAGAAGAUCGAAACUUAAAUAAACAAAAGCAGCAAUUGGGAAAAGAAGUCAAAACCAAUUCACUUUCACACCCUUUAGUAAAAGAAUAGUGGAGGGUACCAGGAUGAGGGAUUUGAGCGACUACAUUAACACCCUGGAAGAGAGGUUGCAGCAUUUAAAUACCGAUCAUGAGGCACAGAUCACCGGACUGGCCCAACAGUUAGCCACGGCCAGGGAAGAAGGGAAAUCGCAACACGAGGAGAUGCUGAGGAUGUUUGCCGCAUUGCAAUCGCAGCUUCAUUCCGUACAAUUUCCCCUAGUGAGCCCACCUGAAGGAAGAAGCCAAGAGCAUGCUCGACUUGGAAGUAGUAACACUCCAAUACAUGUAAGGGAUAAUAGGGGAAAAGGAAUUCUGCCUACGCCACUACCCAUGCACGAUCUCGAGGAGAAGGAGCUAGUGCAACAUUGGCCCGCGAGAGCCGCGGUGUCCAAACAACAGUUCAUUCCCUAUCCUAAAUUGGAUUUUCCGCAGUUCAGUAGUGAAGAUCCACAAGGAUGGUUGCAGAGUUGCAAGCAAUAUUUCGACCUUUACCAGAUACCGCGACAGCAGUGGCUAGGAGUGGCCACCAUGCACAUCUCCGGAAGGGCAAGAGUGUGGAAGCAAGGUUACUUCAUCAACAGACCGGGGUUGACUUGUGUAAUACACUGAACUUUAGCAAAUUGCGAAGUUCGAGUGUGUGCAAUGAUAAGUGGAACUAUCCUACAUCUUCUAAAAGGCUUAGAUAAGUUUUUGGACAAGUUAGAGAAUGAUUGGAAGGUCGGAAGCAAGAAAGUGCAUUAUUCUGGCAAAAUUCAGCAUUUUCUGUAUUGUGUACCGGUACAACCAUCAUUGUGUACCGGUACACAGUGGCAGAAACGUGGUAGCAAGGCUGAUUUAGUAAUUUCACAUCUUAUCUCUAUUUAUUUGACCCCAGCACGACUCCAGGUGCUCAGUGGAGGUUGCUAGAGCUCAGAGCAAGCUUCUUUCACCUUCUCCACUUUCUCUCUCUAGGGUUUCUCUCUCUACGAGUAAAAGUCGCCGUUACGCGCCGAUUUCGCGCCGCGCUCAUUGCUCGUUGGUUCGAAGACUCAAGGGAAGUCUAUGGGACGUGGGGAGAAGGAUUUUUACUGAGUUUUCUGUGAGUUUCUCACCAGGGAAAGCGGAAUCUCAGCAUUAGAGAGGUAAUUAGCUCAAUUUCUCUCUAGUUUGUGGUUUAGUAUCGGAUUUUUACGCGUUUUAGUUCCGUUGCUUCCAGCUGAGUUUGAGAAGGCUUCCAGCAGCUAGAGAGGGGUUAUCUAGCUGUGAUUUCUUCAUUUUAGUCCAGGAAAAAGUUGCCUUGAAGCUUGAGGAAGGUAUUUAGUUAUCUAUGAAGCUAUUUCGAAACUAUUUGCCAUCUAAUUGAGUAACUUGAUGCAGUUUGGAAUUCUUUCUUUGUAGCAGGUUUUCGAACCAUUUUGAACUAAAUUGGUGACCUUGGGAACUAGUUUGGAAGGUGUUCCAACCAGGGGUAAGUAGAAAUUUCAGUUAGAACACUGAUUUCGCAAGAUUUCGGUUAUAUUAACUUGUAAACAAGCAUUGCGAUGCCGUUUUGGUGUUGUUCGUAGCGAGAGUACAACCGACUUUUGGAUGAUCUUUGGUUGGCAUUGGAGAGCCUUUAGAGGUUAAUCUUGAGGUAUUAAAGUGAACCAGAACAGGGAUCUAAGUUACUACUUUGUACUAAGUGAAAUUAUGCCGAUUUCGGACAUGUUGGUAAUGGUUUUCAAUCCGGUUUUGAUCCUUCGUUUUCAACAGGGUUGAGGCCUAGUUGAGCUGAAUUUCGGGACUCCUUUGGGCUGGAUUGAGAUUAGUGAUAGGUGGGUUUGACCUAAGCAGAGCAAGUGAAGCUCCCCUAUGUUCUAUAUGAUACUAUAGAAUUGACACAUACGUGCGUUUUUGUGACUAUGCGAUUGCUAAAGACUUAGAACAAUAUUACCAUAAUGUUUGACAUAUUUGAAAUGAAAUCUCUAUGAAGUAGAGAACACUUAUGCAUAAAAGUACUUAUGUUUAUGUUUAGUUCAGUUGAAUCACUAAUGGACAUAACUACUAUUCUCUUAUAAAGUAGAGAACAAUGAUAUUCUCUUGAUUCUAUUCACGAUAAAGUAGAGAACAAUUCUAAUGCCAUAUGUAAAAUUAGCAUUACUUUCAUGUGCUUGUUAAUCUAGUGGAUACUAGCAAGUUUUAUUGCUUAUUAUAAUGAGAAUUCCGACCAAUAGAUCGAGAGUGAGAACAUAGUGUAUUAUGACAUGAUGAUUGAGGCAUAUUGGGCUAUGGAUUUUGCUUGCUUGCCAUCGUGCUCAUUCGCACACGCUUGUGAGGGUAGCUCCCUACAAGCCGGCACUCCGGAGUUGGCCUAUGCGACAGAUUAUUCGUCCGUGCGGGAUUGGGUGCCGAAGUGGAUUGUCGUGGGGAGUGCAUACUACCACGGGGACAUUAGGCGCGGCGCAGGCUGGACUACCUUGUGUAGGUCCUUAUGAUUGAAAGUAAAGUACUAAAUGACAGAUGAUAGUAAUGAUUGAUUACCAGUUAUAGUGUACAGUAUUUACUUACACGUUUAUGCUUACGUUCAUGUUUAUAUUCAUACUUACAGUAAUUGCUAUGCUUUUAUUAUUCAGUUGAUCCAUUACUGUAGAAAGUAUGAUUACAUGUUGAUUACAUGUUCAUUACCUGUUAGCAUUGUAGAUAUAUCAUGCAAUUAUUGCUUUUACUUUCAUUUAGUACAUCAUGAGCCUAGUGGUGUAAUUCGCCAAGGCUGGCAGCUUACCCACUGGGAACUAUUGUUUAAUAGUUCUCACGCCCUUUUUAUUGUUGUUUUUACAGAGCCACCUACAGGAGAGGCUAGGGAUCGCGGAAAGGGAGUCGCGUCUAGCUAGACCUAGCUUGCGGUUUUACUAGGUGAUCACCUUGCUACUCGUGCCACGACCGAGGGUGAUGUACCCGUGUAUAGAGAGACUACCAUUGUACCUGUAUUUUGAGUAGCCCUGUGAUGUGUGUGAUUGGUUGAAUCGGGAAUUAUAGUUGAUACUUCUCUAUGAUGUUGAGAUUUUGUGUUGUAUACUCUUUGUUCUUCUGUUGAUGGUCUUAUUGACUUAUACUUUGCUCUGAUAUCAGGAUAGAAUUUUUCUAUAUUUUCUUCCUAUCGAUUUGCUUCUUUGUAGACGCCUUAUAUACUGCAGGUGUAUAGCGAGUCUGUGCACGUACCGGAUAUGCUUCCGCUGGUAACCGGGCGUGACAACUUGCGAGGAAUUUACCGAUGCAAUAUGUAAGUGAUUUGCGGACGUGGGAGAGCGCCAUGCAGUCCGCGAAUUCGGCAACCAUAAACAAACAGGAUCCAUCAAAAAAUAUCAACAAAAAUUCGAGCUGUGAGCACAAAUGCUGUACUACAACCCGCGUCUGGGGGAGGAGUUCUUUAUCGCAAGCUACAUCAAUGGGUUAAGCGAAGAGCUGGUUCCCUUCAUGGAUAUCUCGCAUCCAGCCACACUAGAGGACGCUUACAACCACACCAAACUACAUGAUCGGGCGCUGACGAUUAUGCAAAGGAAGAGCAGAAUCAUCAGUAAAGGCCCCAGGGGGUGGGUAUUCGUCCUUCAGUGGAUCCAGGAGCUCCACCGGGACAACCACCUAUAAACCGAGGGAGCAUAACAGAUUCCAAAUCCAAGGUUCAAAUGGGGAAGCCAGCCUGCCCUCACAGGAGCACAAGCGAUUAAUAGAGCAACGAAGGGCUGCCAAGCAAUGUUUCAAGUGCGGCGACAAAUACCAGCCGGGCCAUCAGUGCAAAAACAAGACUCUUUUCAGCUUAGCUGCCGAGGAUAAUGUGUUGGAAGUGUAUGAUGAAGAUUGUUUACGGGAAGAGGAAGAAAUGCCCGGGGAAGAACAAGGGAAUAAUCCAAACUCGGAGGAGAAGGAAGAGGUGGGUUUGUCUUUUAACGCGCUGAGUGGGGAAAACUCACUUCAAACACUUCAAAUUCAAAGCGAAGUGGGGAGCAAGAAGCUGAAGAUACUGGUAGACACGGGGAGCACCCACAGUUUCCUGGAUUUUCGGGUGGCGAAAGAAGUCAAGGCAAAAAUAGGGGCAGCGGCGCCCCUAAUGGUCGCUGUGGCCAAUGGGCACAAAAUCAUGAGCAAACUAAGGAGCCCGGGGUUUACUUGGAACAUGAAUGGCAAAUCUUACAAGGCUGACUUGAGGAUAAUCCGGCUAGAAGGCUCUAGUGUGAUAUUGGGCAUCGAUUGGUUAAAAACGUAUGGUAAGGUCACUUUCGACUAUAACAAUCACACAGUGUCGCUUGACAAGGACGGACAUCAGCUGGUCCUUAAAGGUUUGGCUGUAGGGACAGGCCUAAAGAUGCUCACUGUCAAGGAGUGGAGUAGAGACUGCCAGGAAGGAAUUUGUUGCGCCUUAGCCACAAUCACACAGAUCGGGGAGUGCGACGAGCAAGUGAUACCUAAGAGCAUUAAAGAGAUACUACAACAAUUUGAAGAUGUGUUCGAGGAGCCGAAGGGAUUAACCCCGACAAUAAGGCAGGACCACCGGAUUCCCUUACAAGUGAAAGUUUUGGGGUAGCCCAAGGAUCUAUCUAGAUUGUAUCUAACACCUAGAGGGGGGUGAAUAGGUGUAAAAGCCAAAAACCACAAAUCUCAAUGCGGUAAAAGUAAAUGCAGAAAAUAAAAAUCACACCGAGAUUUACGUGGAAAACUCCAACUAGGAGUAAAAAACCACGGGACCAACACGCGAUAACAAUCCACUAAGAAUAAAAGAUUACAAGGUGAGUUACCGAUUCCACGGACUCAAACCUCUCUUUUAUCUUCUCCGGAUCUCGUGCACACCAACAGGUUGUCCACGCCACACGUCCGAAUCCACGAACGUCACGUCCCAAAUCCACGAAACUUCCACACUUCGAAUCCACGAAGCCUUGAUCACGCCGAAUCCACGACACCCACUCGAAUCCACAAGCACACUCUGUCCGGAGCAAGAAUACCAAGAUUGACGAUGAUUUAUUGCUUAGACAAUCGUUAAAGAACCAUAGAAGAUGUUUCUAAGCAAUAGCCGGAUCAAUUCUCCAUGAAGAACAAAAAAUUAGGAUUUCAAGAAUUGAUCGAAUAGAAACUUAUUUUUUGAGAGAAGAAAUAAUACACCCAACAAGUUUCUAGGGUUUCAAAACAAUAUUUUAUGCCUUCAUAAUCUUUUAGAAACACCCCUACAUCUUAUUUAUAGGUUUAGAAGACUUAGAAACCGACUAGGAUUGCAAAAAUCCAAUUUUAAAAACUUAUGUCGUCCUCAGGGACCAGUCCUCUCGAGGAGACCGGUCUGUCAGAGAUCGGUGCCUUGGGUGGGAGACUGGUCCCUCGCUGCGUGACAGAAAACACAACGUUCGGGAACCGGUCUCUCAUGCCAGAGACCGAUCUCUCUCUGCGAGUCAAAAAUCCCAAUGUUUGGGAACCGGUCUCUCAUGCAAGAGACCGGUUGCACCGACCAGGAGACCGGUCCCUCAGAUCAGGAGACCGGUUGCCUUGAACUUUCACGUAGAGAGGACUCUCGGGAACCGGUCUCUCAUCUCAGGGGACCGGUCCCAGCACAUUGAAAAAAAUCAGUUUAUCCAGAUCAUAUUUUAAAAACCAUCAUAAGUCUUCCAAAUACUUUUAAACAUUUAUAAAUCACCAUCAAUGGUAUUUAAACUUACCGAGCAUUAUGCAUUCAUGUUUUGAGUCUUCGAGUCUUCGAUCUUCAUCUCUUAUUCUUCAAGCAUUCAAGACUCCGACUAACAUCACGAAAUAUGCCAACAUAAAAUCCGUAACAACAAGGAGCGUCCCAACCAGUGAACAUAAGACCCUAUCGCUACACCUACGAGCAAAAGAACGAAAUCGAGCGUCAGGUUAAGGAGAUGUUGGAGUUGGGCAUCAUCUAGCCUAGCACCAGCCCGUUCGCUUCACCCGUGCUGCUAGUCAAAAAGAAGGAUAACACAUGGCGGUUUUGUGUCGACUACAGACAACUAAACAAAUUCACGGUGAAGGAUAAAUAUCCAAUCCCACUGAUUGAUGAUUUGCUAGAUGAAUUGGGCGGCUCAACUUACUUCUCUAAGAUUGGCUUGAGGGCCGGCCACCAUCAGAUCAGAAUGGAUUCGGCGGACGUCUAUAAGACGGCAUUCCGGACCCACGCAGGACAUUACGAGUUUUUGGUUAUGCCCUUCGAGCUAACCAACGCGCCGGCUACCUUUCAAUCCGUCAUGAAUGAGGUAUUUGCGGAUUACCUUAGAAAGUAUGUGCUAGUUUUCUUCGACGACAUUCUCAUUUACAGCUGAAACAUCGAGGACCAUAAGGCGCAUUCGAGUGUGGUGCUCGGAACAUUGCGCAGGCAACAGUUAUAUGCGAAGAGGUCCAAUGCUACUUCGGGCAACAAAGAGUGGAAUAUCUAGGCUAUAUCAUCAGCCCGGAGGGAGUGGCAACCGAUCCUAAGAAGGUAGAAGCGAUGGUUACGUGGCCGACACCAACUUCCCUCAAGGGUUGGCGAGGGUUUCUAGGUAUAACAGGGUACUACCGACGAUUUAUAAAUGUCACACCCCGAAACCCAGCGGAAGCCCGCCCAGCGCGUGUCCAGACCCGCUAUAUGUCUAAAACAUAUAAGGCGUCUACGAAAAAGAAGUAAAUAAAACAAUAAUACACGAGAUCUAGUAAUAUCAGAGCAAAGUACUACUAAUUCUACAAUAGGAGGGUAAUCAUAAAACUAUAAAUCCACAAAGUGAAACAUAAAGUAGUACAAAGAUAACCCAAAAUACAAGUGCUAACGGAGUACAUAGGUGGUCUUUAUACAUGGUACAAAAAUCUCUCUCUCACUACGACAAAAGAAAGAAUAACCACCUAAGCUCAAAAGUAGCUCCUCUCUGUCUAGCUUGGCGACACCCUUGCCGCGAUCCCGUGCCUCCGCCGGUGCCGAGGGCUCUAAAAAGAAACAUAAAGCAGAGGGCGUGAGAACUAUUAAAUAAUAGUUCCCAGUGGGCAAUUACCGACUUUAGUGAAAUGCGCCAUUAGGCCCAACAACUAAAAAGGGGUAAGUGUAAAUGUAAGCAAUAUGAACGACUAGUAAGUAAGCAUGAAAAUUUACUACAACUUGAUGUCUCUACUUAGUAUGAAAUUGCAUAAGUAAUGAAGCUACUGUAACAUGAAUGUAGACGGGCACCACUAUCAUAAUGUCCACAAGCUAAAUAGUAAAUGUCAUUGUUUACUAUUUUAGUCAAAGUCCAAAUGGCAUGUUCUGUCACUAAGUUCUGAUCAUAUAAGACCCACCCGUAGGCUGUCUAGCCUGCGCCGUGCCUAAUGGCCCCGUGGUAGUCAACAUCCCCACUCUAGGAAUGAGCCUCCCCCACGGCAUCCUAGUUCGACGCCCAAUCCCGCACGAGCGAGCAUAUGUCGCGAUGUCUAUCUCCGGAGUGCCGGCUUGUAGGGAGCGACCCUCACAAGCAUAUGCGAAUGAGCACAAUGGUAAGCAAGCGAAAGAUCUGUCUCAAGUACCAAGUCCUCAUGUCUAAAAACAUGAAAUAUAUUAAGUAUCUCGAUGGCCUACCACUACGUUGUCAUGUCUAAAACACGGAAUAAUAGUGGAUGUCGGAAUGGCCUAUCACUAUGUCUCUAAGUUGCAGUUUCACAAUUUUCUAAGUCAGGUGCCCCUUUAUGGCACUUUGUCCGCUAAGUCAAGCAUGGUGAUUAUGUUCAAGAGUACAAAAUUCUAAACAUUUUCCUCAUAAGAGACAUAUUCCCAAAACUGCAAUGAAGUACUUAACACAUGCAUAGAUACUACACAUAAGGCUCUACACAUAGAGUGAAAUAUUCAUGAUAUAUAAUGCAUGCAUUCUAAGCAUUCAAAAAUUCAUAUAAAUUCUAUUUAGGAUGAAAAUGCAUAAACCACGAUGAUUCGAAAGCAUUUAACCACUUAGGAGACGUUUUCUCCUAUUCCAAUGAAGCCAAACCCACCGAAGCUAAUCGAAACCCUUCGUUUGCUCCAACGAAGGCAUCCACCACUCUCCUAGUACCCUAAAGGUAUAGAAAAGAGAGUUAAACGAACCUUACGAACACCCAAGUGAUCAAACAUUAAGCAACUCAAGAAAAGGGUGAAAAACUCACCGAACGCGGAGGAGACUCUCUCGAUCUCGAAAUGGGAGUUAGAGUCCUUCAAAGCCAACCUAAAUCAUGAUUCUAAACCAAUCAAUUUGGUUCUAGAAGCCUCUAAUCAAAAAUUUCCAAUUCUAACCCUAAUAACACAUUCUAGGGUUUCAUCUAGAAGAAGCUACCCAAAACUUGAUCCAAGGGGGAGAUUAAGUAUACUAACCUCACAAGAUCCUCAAAACCAAGCUCCAAGUCCUCUAGGGUUGAAGGUUGAUCCUCAAUCAAGCUCCAACCAAGAUCUCAAGCUUCUUCAAUGGUGGAAAACCAUUAAAAAAGCAAGAAGGAGAAGAAGAAAGAGAUCAAAACUAGUUAGAAUCCAACAAAAAUGGAGAAGGAAUCAAAGGGGAGGAGUUCUCACCUCUUCUCCGCAGGUCUAGCGCUCAAAAGAGCCCCCCAAGGGCUGUGGUGGUGUUUAAAUAGAGAUGCAACAAUUGUAAAAAUACUCCUGCCUGAAAAACUGCCUAGUCUGCAUUGUGUACCGGUACACGGGAAAGUGUACCGGUACACUUCCUACGAAACAGCCGAACCCGAGCCUCGGGUUGGCAGCAAACCCACAGUGUACCGGUACAACCAUCAAGGUGUACCGGUACAAAUCCUGUACCGGUACAACCAUCAAGGUUGUACCGGUACACAGCCUGGCUGAGGCUGACCCGAGAGCAGGACCAACAAUCCAUCUUUUUGGAUUUUGGUACAAGCUUUAAAUCUCAAUUCUUGUGUUGCGAGCUAUUGGUCGGAACACUGUCAACGACCUUCCAGAAUAUCUGGUAAAGCUCGGAACACAGAUCAAACACUUGAACCUCGCAAUUUGCAAAGAACCAGUGUGUUACAUUCACCCCUCCUAAAAAGGAGUUUCGUCCGCGAAACUCGAAAUCAAACUACAUACCUCAAGACUCCAUCUGAAAGAGAUGGGGAUAGCGCUCCUGCAGCACGCUCUCUAGCUCCGACGUGGCCUCCCGCUCCCUGUGGUUGCUCUAAAGGACCUUUACAUACGAAAUGUCCCGAUUCCGUAGUUUCUUCACCUCGUGAGCCAAGAUCUUCACUGGUUGCUCCUCGAAGCUCAAAUCGUCCCGCAACUCCAAGGGUGAAGCAUCCAACGCAUGAGUCGGGUCGAAGACGUACUUUCAAAGGACAGAUACAUGAAAGACGUUGUGCACGCCCGAUAGGUUCGGCGGUAGAGCAAGCCGAUACGCUACUGGACCUACACGUUCCAAAAUCUCAUACGAUCCAAUGAAACGGGGGCUCAACUUACCCCGAAUCCCAAAUCUCCUGAUCCCUCUUGUCGGCGAGACCUUCAAGAACACAUGGUCUCCAACUUGGAACUCCAAGUCUCGCCGUCGUCGGUCAGUGUAGCUCCUCUGUCUACUCUGUGCCGUCAAUAGUCGCUCCCGAGCAAUUCGAACCUUAUCCUCAGCUUCUUGGAGCACUUCAGGGCCUAAAGCCAAUCUCUCACCUACUUCGCUCCAAUGAAGUGGCGAUCUACACUUCCGUCCAUAAAGUGUUUCGAAGGGCGCCAUCUUGAUGCUUGCUUGAUAACUAUUGUUAUAAGCAAACUCCGCCAUUGGUAGAUGCUGCGACCAUCCCCCUGGAAGUCAAUCAUACAUGCUCGGAGCAUAUCCUCUAAAGUCUGAAUGGUGCGCUCCGACUGCCCGUCACUCUGAUGGUGGAAAGCAGUGCUGAAGUCCAAUCAGGUGCCCAAGGCGUCCUACAGACUCCUCCAAAAGUGAGACACAAAUCGAGUAUUUCAGUCCGGUACUAUCGAUGUAGGUACUCCAUGAAGCCGCACAAUUUCAUCAAGGUACACUUGUGCGAGCUUCUCUCCGGUCCAAGUAGUUUGAAUAGGUAUGAAGUGCGCCGACUUCGUCAACCUAUCCACGAUUACCCAUAUAGCAUCAUGCCCUGCCUGAUAGCGGCGCAAUCCAGUCACGAAAUCCAUGGCGAUCUUCUCCCACUUUCGCACGGGAAUAGGCAAACUCUGAAGUUUUUCCGCGGGUAAUCGAUGCUCAGCCUUUACUUGUUGGCAAGCUAGACAACGAGCUACGAACUCGCCAACAUCCAUUUUCAUCCCGGGCCACCAAUAAAGCAACUUUAAGUCCUUGUACAUCUUGGUGCCACCCGGAUGUAUAGCAUGCGGUGCUCGGUAUGCUUCUUGAAGAAUGUCCUCUUUGAUUACCGCAUCCGCCGGUACACAUAACCGUCCGCGAAAACGCAUCAAUCCUUGAUCAUCCAUAAGGAAGUCGCCGGUGCAACCAUUAACCAUUUUACCUCUAAUCUUUUGCAACUCCGUAUCGGAAGCUUGCUUCUCUUUAAUUCUAUCCACAAGUGUAGGUUGCACCACCAAGGUCAUCAACCUCAAAGGCGUGUCUGGAGUCACCACCUCCAACUCCAACCGCUUCAUCUGCUCGAUCAACUGCGGUUGAGUAACAACAUAGAUCGCUAAGUUUUCCGUAGAUUUCCUACUUAGAGCAUCCGCCACCACGUUAGCCUUACCCGGGUGGUAAAGAAUCGUCAGAUCAUAAUCUUUAAGCAGCUCCAACCAUCUGUGCUGUCUCAAGUUCAACUCCUUCUGAGUAAACAGGUACUUUAAGCUCUUGUAAUCCGUGUAUACUUUACACUACUCGCCAUAAAGAUAGUGGCGCUAUAGCUUCAAUGCGAAAACUACGGACGCCAACUCCAAAUCAUGCGUCGGAUAGUUCUUUUCAUAUUCCUUUAGUUGGCGCGAAGCAUCCGCGAUCACCUUGCGAUCCUGCAUCAACACACAACCCAAUCCAUUAAGUGAAGCAUCACUAUAAACCGCAUACGCUGCUCCAGCUAUCGGCAGGGUUAGGAUCGGGGCGGUCGUCAAUCUUUGCUUCAACUCUUGGAAGCUUCUCUCGCAUGCAUCAUUCCAAAUGAACUUGCCUCCUUUAUGCGUGAGCCUCGUGAGGGGAGUAGACAGUUUUGGCGAACCUCUCAACAAAUCUCCGGUAGUACCCGACCAAUCCAAGGAAGCUCCGUAUCUCCGUGACGCUCAUCGAUCUCGGCCAAUCCUUGAUCGCUUCAAUCUUCUUAGGAUCCAGGGCUAUACCUAAUCUCGAUCAAAUGUCCAAGGAAAGCUACCUCCCGAAGCCAAAAUUCACACUUUUUCAGCUUGGCAUAGAGCUCCUUUUCCGGAAGUACUUGAAGUACAAGCCUCAAAUGCUCCUCGUGAUCUGCAUCACUUCGGGAAUAGAUCAAAAUGUUGGCGAUGAAUAUCACGACGAACCUGUCUAGAUAAGGCUUAAAAACACGGUUCAUUAAAUCCAUGAAAGCUACCGGAGCGUUAGUAAGCCCGAACGGCAUAACAGUGAACGCAUAAUGUUCAUACCGUAUUCUAAAAGCCGUCUUCGAUACAUCCUCGGGUUUGAUCUUUAACUGGUGGUAUCCCGACUGCAAAUCGAUCUUGGAAUACACACACGAUCCCUGAAGCUGAUCAAACAAGUCGUCGAUCCUCGGUAAUGGAUACUUAUUCUUCAUCGUGACUUUAUUAAGUUCACGAUAGUCUACGCAUAGGCGAAGUGAUCCGUCCUUUUUCUUGACGAACAAAACUGGUGCUCCCCAAGACGAGACGCUCGGUCGAAUGAAGCCUUUAUCCAGAAGAUCCUGCAGCUGUGCCCUCAGCUCCUUCAGCUCCGCCGGUGCCAUCGUAUAGGGCGCUUUCGAGAUUGGAGUAGUCUCAGGGACGAGAUUUACCACAAACUCGAUCUCCCUAUCGGGUGGCAUACCCGGUAGCUCAGUUGGAAACACGUCACAAAACUUCUGCACCACCGGAAUAUCCUCAAUCCUAGGGGUAUCACCCUCGCCCCUCAACACAACACUAGCCAAGUAUGCUACACAACCUCUGCUGAUCAGCUGCCUAGCUCGAGACGAGCUGAUCGUCAUCGCAAAAAGCGAACUCUGGCAUCCUCUAAACACAACCUCAGUUUGUCCCGGUUCUCUAAAAGUAACCGUGCGAUUCUUGCAAUCUAUCAUGACAUAAUACUUGGUCAACCAAUCCAUGCCUAAGACCACAUCAAACUCCCCCAGGUUGCGCAAGGCUAGCAAGUCCACGGGCAUAAUCCAAUCUCCUACCCGAAUAGGGCAACUGGGGCAAUACUCUCUAAUAUCCAAAGAGUGGUCAGGGACAACUACACGUCCCGGAUGCAACAAAGAAAAUAUAGGGAUACCAUGCAACUCGGCAAACAACCGAUCUAUGAAUGAAUGCAAUGCAUGAACUCUAAUGCCAUCAAGUAAAAUGAUACCUGCGACUACAUCCUCGGCUGCUGCCGCCUCCUCGGUUUGAGCGGCAUGUAUGCGCCCACUCGGGGUCUGUCGAGAACCCUCGCUCUUGCGCUGGGCGAGUGGCCGCCCGGGCUGGUACUGCGCUGAUGGAGUCCCGUGGCUGGCGGCUGGUAAAGCCGGUGCUGAUGCAGAUGACGGUGCCGGUGACGAACCCCUCGGGCACUCGGUCCGGAAGUGGCCCUCCUGGCCAUAGUGGAAACACCUCCCUCCUUGUGCGGGCACUGCUGUGGAAUGUGAGGACCACCACAGAUCACGCACUGUGAAGGUCGUUGUCGGUCAGAACCUCCAUAGUGAGUCGCCGAGCCACGCCCACGCUGCUGGCUCUUAGGAUGCUUCGGCGGCCUCCUAGAGUGCGUCUAGCUUGCACCCUCAGCCGCAGGCCUCUUGGCCUUACCCUUGUCCAUAGCCUCUCGGCAUUCCUGAACAUCUGCCGCACCGCUCUCUACGAUAAGCGCGCGAUCCACCACCUCCCGGUAGAUUUGGAGGUUAGAGGAUUGCACAAACUGGAAGAUCGACGGUCGCAACCCUUGCUCGAAGAUGCGGGCUUUGUCCUCGUUGUCCUGCACGACGAAAGGCACACAGUGUAGAAAUCGAGAAAACUCCCGCUCGUACUCGGCUACUGUCCUGUCUCCCUGGCACAAGUUGCGCAAGUCCUGCUCCAUCUUCCUCUUGACGUUGGCCGAGAAGUAAUGCGCCAAAAGAGCUCCUUGAACCUCUUCCAAGUAAUAGCUGCCAAAUCAGUGCUGGGGUGCUCCUAGAGAUCCAACCACCAGCGAUAGGCCUCGCCGUCCAGGUGGUGUGUGGCGAGCCAAACCCGAUCCCUCUCCUCCAUGAAGGUGUCACGAAAGAGCUUCUCCAUAUGCAUUAACCACUUCUCUACGAUCCAGUGGUCGACCUUCUCGUCGUCGAAGAUCCGAGGACCGCACCUCCUGAACUCGUUGAGGCGCUCCAUGAGUCGGUCCCGCACCACUCCCUCGACCAAGGUAGGGAAAGCUGCUCCAACCGGGGGCCUCUACACAUGUGACGCACUGUACCUUCGCAAAUUGCGAGGUUCGAGUGUUUGGACUGUAUCCCGAGUUUUUUCCAGACUUUCUGGUGGGUUGUUGACUGUGUCCCGACCUAUGGCUCGUAUCCCGAGAAUUGUGGUAUUUUAUGUAGCGCCAAGGUCACCAAGAGUUGGACUUAGCCUACCCUCGGAUUGCAUUCUGCAUGACGUGUAACCGGUGACAGGUCGAUGGCUAUACCGGUACACAUUUUGUACCGGUACACUUUUGAUGGUUGUACCGGUACACUUGUGGCGAAUUUCGAACCCGAGCCUCGUGUUUGCAUUUUCGUAGGAUGUGUACCGGUACACUUUCCCGUGUACCGGUACACUUUGGCAGAAUCUGAGCAAUUUGAAUUGCAGGGGGUUUUUCGCAACUGUGGCAGCUCUAUUAGUACCCCCCACGCCCCUAGGGCUCUCCCUGAGCUUGGCACCAGCAAGGAGAAGGGUAAGGGAGCCCUCCACACUCUUCCAUUCCCUUUACUUGAUUUUGCUUGGAUUUUUUACAAGAUUAAGCUCCCUUUUGCUUGAUUAGAGACUUUCUCACUUUGGUUGAGGCUUGGAGCUUGGGUUUGGAGCAAAGUUGAGGGAAGAUCCUUGGACUUGGAGAGUUUAGAGCUUGGAUUGAAGUUUCUAAAAGGUAAUCUACUUGACCUCUCCCUCUAAAUAUGAAUUUUAUUGAUGGAUUCAAGAUGGAACCCUAGUUUUGAUACUUAGGGCUUAUUUUGGGUAUUUUGAAUCUAGGGCUUUUGGGGCUAAAUUGGUUGGAUUAGAACCUUCCUUGGGCUUGGUUUGGAAGGGAUUUAGCUCUCUUUUGGAGCUUGAGAGAGAUUUUCCACACAUUAGGUGAGUUUUAGUCCUUUUGCUAAAUUUGUUAAAGUUUGAUCUUAUAGUUGAUCGUAAUGCCCGUGUAUCUUUUCGCUCGAUACUUUUAGGGCAUUUUGAGACUCGGGGACAAUUUUGUUCGGCGAAACGAGGCCCUACGCGACGGUUCGGUGGGUUUGACCUAGCCACACAAUGAGAAAUUCUCAUUUGUGCUUAAUUAAGUAUCGUUAAAUGAAAAAGCAUGCAUAUUUUUGUUAUAUGUAUUUAUUGUGAAUUUUAGAAUGCUUAAAAGGCCUAUGUUAUAUAUGAUAAAAUUUUGUACCUUUAUGUAGUAGAGAGUAGCUUGGUAGGCCUAUAGUUGCAUUUAGCAUUCUAUAUGAGACGUGGUUUCAUGCUCCUAUAGUGUAAAUAAGAUUGGAUUCAUGCAUUUAAACCUAAGUUUAUUGAGACAUGAAAGUUGACAAAUUGCCAUUUAGAAGGUAUGUGAACUAGAGAGCUAAUGUCAUCAAGCGGCAUUGAGCUCGGGACAUGUGUGAACCUAGUGGAUAGGGCAGUGGAUAGGGCCAUUGAGGAAUGUGGAACAUGCUUAAACAUUAAAUGUCUAAGUGUCAUAAAGAGGCACUAGACCUAGAGAAUGUUGGAACUUUAUUUGUGACUUAGAACUAGAUCUUCGAGAUGCUAGUGACUAUACCAUGUUAGAGACAUGAGGGUUGGAUACUUGAGACUUGGACUAUGCUUGCUUGCCAUUUGUGUUCAUUCGCACAUGCUUGUGAGGGUCGCUCCCUGCAAGCCGGCACUCCGGAGUUAGCCUUCGCGACCUAUGUUCGCUCGUGCGAUAUUGAGAAGCCUACGGGGUCGAGUGGGACAGACACAUUCCAAGAGUAGGGAUGUUGGGCUACCACAGGCACUUAGGCGGCACAAGCUGGACUACCUUUGGUAGGUCCUUGAUUGGAAAUGGAAAUCGACACGGUGUUGAGAAUGAAUAAUCGCUGCUAAAUAGGCUUAGUAGUUGGAUUAGGUGACAUGCUCAUGACAUAGCAAUGGGGUAUAUAGUACACUUGUCGGUUUCAUGCAUUGCAUCAUAGUAUACUGGGUUAUCUUGAUAGAGCGUACUCCUUAUAUUUUGGCAUAUGGUAUUGUGAGGUUUACUUGUUCAUUAUGUUGAGGCAUAUUAGUAUGCAUUGGAUAUAUUACCUUAUGAUAGCGUAGAUGUACAUCACCAUGACAUCAUGUUUAUUGGAGACAUAAUAGUAUAGCAUUUCAUUCAUGCUUUCUUUCAGCAGUUUUUUUGUGUUCGCUAUUUAUUGCAUAUUACUAUAUGUCGUUGCUUACCCUUUUCUUUUGGGGCCUAUUGGUGCAUUGAGUUGAGGUCUGUAAUUGCCCACUGGGAACUAUAAAUUAUAGUUCUCACGCCUUCUUUUUCUCGAUGUUUUUCAGAGCCUUCCACGCAGGGUGAGGCCAGGGAUCGCGGGAAGGGAGUUGCUUCGAGCUAGCUUCCUUCGAGGACGAGUUGCUAGGUGGUCUACCUCUCGAUAUUUACUUGUCUUACCGAGAGGUUGAGGGUUUUACCAGUGUACUAGAGACCACCAUUUUUGUACUAGAGAUAGAUAUUGUACUACUUAUGAUUUCUUUUAUUGUCUAGCUUUACUUUUUUACUUUGGUGUAGAUGUUAGAACUUUACUCGCUCUGAUAUCAUUAGCUGCUAGUUAUUUCACUUCUUCUAUUUGUUCUAUUACUUGCUUUUACUUCCGCUUUUAUUCUAGACGCCUUAUAUGUGUAGACAUAUGGCGGGUCUGGGCACGCUACCGGGAGGGCCUCCGCCGGUCCCGGGGCGUGACAGCACAGGUGGUGCCGCGAUAGCCUCCUCCUGAGGCGCGGCCGCGGGCGCUGCUCGUGAAGAACUGGGCGCGGGGGAUGGCGCUCUCGGCGCGACGUCCACGACUGGUGCUGGCGGUGUAGGGGCCUGAGUCUCCGUGGAAGCUGCCGCCUGCUGUAGCAGAAGAUCCUCUAGGCACUUCAUCCGCACCUCCUGUCGACGCACCGCCUCAGUCUGCUGUGCCACCAUAUCAGUGAGGGCCGCAAGCUGGCCCCUCAACUCUCGGACCUCGCCGGAUCCGGAGGUAGCGGAGGUCUCGAUCUCCUCCAAGUUUGCCGCAUUAUACGCUCCGGCAAAUUAAGAGCAUGUAAUCGGCAUCGUCACUACAACAUCAUAAAAGCGUAAGUUAGUAACCCACGCUAUCGAAUCCCCGCUCAAGCAGAUAAUACCAAAAUCAUGCGAAAGUAAGGAAGUGUUCUUCACCACUAACUCCCGAUGUUACAUUGUCGGCCGCCAACGUAACCCUCCGCGAUGUUAGAACCUAUACACUUCGAUCAACUCCAACUUUUUAGAGUUAUCAAGAUACCCAAUCAAAAUACUUUCGCUUACAAGUCAAAUAGACCUCAUCUCUCACGAGCCUAUUUCCUAUAGUCCAACCAGUCUAAGGUUUACUAGGUCCCCUAAGAUUCAACCCUAGGCUCUGAUACCAAAUUAAUCUGUCACGCCCCGGGACCCAGCGGAAGCCCGCCCGGCGCAUGUCCAGACCCGCCAUAUGUCUAAAACAUAUAAGGCAUCUACGAAAAAGCAGUAAAUAAAAUAAUAAUACAAGAGAUCUAGUAAUAUCAGAGCAAAGUACUACUAAUUCUACAACAGGAGGGUAAUCAUAAAAUUAUAAAUCCACAAAGUGAAACAUAAAGUAGCACAAAGAUAACCCAAAAUACAAGUGCUAAAGGAGUACAUAGGUGGUCUCUAUACAUGGUACAAAAAUCUCUUUCUCACUACGACAAAAGAAAGAGUAACCACCUAAGCUCAAAAGUAGCUCCUCUCUAUCUAGCUAGGCGAUACCCUUGCCGCGAUCCCGUGCAUCCGCCUAUGCCGAGGGCUCUGAAAGGAAACAUAAAGCAAAGGGCGUGAGAACUAUUAAAUAAUAGUUUCUAGUGGGCAAUUACUGACUUCAGUGAAAUGCGCCACUAGGCCCAACAACUAAAAGGGGUAAGUGUAAAUGUAAGCAAUAUGAACGACUAGUAAGUAAGCAUGGAAAUUUACUACAACAUGAUGUGUCUACUUAGCAUGAAAUUGCAUAAGUAAUGAAGCUACUGUAACAUGAAUGUAGACGAGCACCACUAACAUAAUGUCCACAAGCUAAAUAGUAAAUGUCAUUGUUUACUAUUUUAGUCAAAGUCCAAAUCGCAUGUUCUGUCACUAAGUUUCGAUCAUGUAAGACUUACCCGUAGGCUGUAUCGCCUGCGCCGUGCCUAAUGGCCCCGUGGUAGUCAACAUCCCCACUCUAGGAAUGAGCCUCCCCUACGGCAUCCCAUUUCAGCGCCCAAUCCCGCACGAGCGAGCAUAUGUCGCGAUGGCUAUCUCCGGAGUGCCGGCUUGUAGGGAGCGACCCUCACAAGCAUGUGCGAAUGAGCACAAUGGCAAGCAAGCGAAAGAUCUGUCUCAAGUACCAAGUCCUCAUGUCUAAAAACAUGGAAUAUAUCAAGUAUCUCGAUGGCCUACCACUACGUCAUCAUGUCUAAAACACAGAAUAAUAGUGGAUGUCGGAAUGGCCUAUCACUAUGUCUCUAAGUUGCAGUUUCACAAUUUUCUAAGUUAGGUGCCCCUUUAUGGCACUUUGUCCGCUAAGUCAAGCAUGGUGAUUAUGUUCAAGAGUACAAAAUUCUAAACAUUUUUCUCAUAAGAGACAUAUUCCCAAAAUUGCAAUAAAGUACUUAACACAUGCAUAGAUACUACACAUAAGGCUCUACACAUAGAGUGAAAUAUUCAUGAUACAUAAUGCAUGCAUUCUAAGCAUUCAAAAAAAAAAUUCACAUAAAUCCUACCUAGGAUGAAAAUGCAUAAACCACGAUGAUAUGAAAGCAUUUAACUACUUAGGAGACAUUUUCUCCUAUUCCAAUGAAGCCAAACCCAUCGAAGCUAAUCGAAACCUUUUGUUUGCUCCAACGAAGGCGUCCACCACUCUCCUAGUACCCUAAAGGUAUAGAAAAGAGAGUUAAACGAACCUUACGAACACCCAAGUGAUCAAAUAUUAAGCAACUCAAGAAAAGGGUGAAAAACUCACUGAACGCGAAGGAGACUCUCUCGAUCUUGAAAUGGGAGUUAGAGUCCUUCAAAGCCAACCUAAACCAUGAUUCUAAACCAAUAAAUUUGGUUCUAGAAGCCUCUAAUCAAAAAUUUCCAAUUCUAACCCUAAUAUCACAUUCUAGGGUUUCAUCUAGAAGAAGCUAUCCAAAACUUGAUCCAAGAGGGAGAUUAAGUAUACUAACCUCAUAAGAUGCUCAAAACCAAGCUCCAAGUCCUCUAGGGUUGAAGGUUGAUCCUCAAUCAAGCUCCAACCAAGAUCUCAAGCUUCUCCAAUGGUGGAAAACAAUUAAAAAGCAAGAAGGAGAAGAAGAAAGAGAUCAAAACUAGUUAAAAUCCAACAAAAAUAGAGAAGGAAUCAAAGGAAAGGAGUUCUCACCUCUUCUCUAUAGUUCUAGGGCUCAAAAGAGGCCCCCAAGGGCUGUGGUGGUGUUUAAAUAGAGAUGCAACAAUUGCAAAAACACCCCUGCCCGAAAAACUGCCCAGUCUGCAUUAUGUACCGAUACACGGGAAAGUGUACCGGUACACUUCCUACGAAACAGCCCAACCCGAGCCUCGGGUUGGCAGAAAACCCACUUUGUACUGGUACAACCAUCAAGGUGUACCGAUAGAAAUCCUGUACCGGUACAACCAUCAAGGUUGUGACGGUACACAGCCUGGCUCAGGCUGACCCGAGAGCAGGACCAACAAUCCAUCUUUUUGGAUUUUGGUACAAACUUUAAACCUCAAUUCUCGGGAUGCGAGUCAUAGGUCAGAACACUGUCAACGACCUUCCAGAAUAUCUGGUAAAGCUCGGAACACAGAUCAAACACUUGAACCUCGCAAUUUGCAAAGGUCCAGUGUGUUACAAUAAAAGACUACUGGAACUUAAGCAAACCAUUGACGGAGUUAUUAAAAAAGGAUCAGUUCAAGUGGGGGCCGGAGUCAUAAGCUGCAUUCGAGAACCUGAAAGAAGUUAUGACCCGAGCUCCAGUAUUAGCGAUGCCCGACUACUCCCGACUACUCCAGGUCAUUUGUUGUGGAAAUGGAUGCUUGUGGACAAGGAUUGGGUGCGGUGCUCUCGCAAGAAGGAAGGCCAAUAGGUUACAUUAGCAAGGCUAUAAGCCAGCGGAACAUGGGUCUCUCCACGUACGAGAAGGAAUUUUUGGCGAUACUGUUAGCAGUCAGCAAGUGGAAGCAUUACCUAAGUCCCCGGCCAUUCAUAAUCAAAACGGACCACCAGAGUCUCAAACAUCUAUUGGAACAGAAGAUAACAACGGCCGUCCAACAAAAAGGAAUGAUCAAGCUUACGGGGCUGGACUACGCGAUACAAUACAAGGCGGGAAAGAAAAAUAGGGCGGCGGACUCGCUAUCCAGGAGAGGAUUUGAGGAGGGAGCUAGCGCAGCUAUCACCACUGUGAUUUCGAGUUGGGUAACCGAAGUGGUGGUGAGCUACAAAGGGGACGAGAAGUGCCAACAGAUUAUCGCUAAAUUAUUACUCCAAUCGGAUCCACAGUCGAAGUAUGUUUGCUCCCAGGAAUUGUUGAGGUACAAGGGAAGGCUAUAUGUUGAGGACCAAGGGGGAACUCGAAGAAAAAUAAUACAAGAAUUACACGCCUCAGCCCUCGGAGGUCACUCAGGCACCAAGCACACCUACAAGAGAGCGAAGCAAUACUUCUAUUGGCCGGGCCUAAAGAAGGAGGUAGAAGAAUACACUAAAGCCUGCGCAAUUUGCAUACAAAACAAGGUGGAUGGACAACCCUACGGCAGGCUUCUUCAACCGCUGCCGGUGCCCAACCGAGCUUGGCAGGAGAUUACCAUGGAUUUCAUCGAGGCGCUACCGAAAUCGGAGGGCAAGGAUACUGUAUUGGUGGUAAUAGACCGACUCACCAAGUACGCCCAUUUUAUUUCCCUAACUCACCCUUUUACAACAUCUAGUGUGGCACGGGCCUUCCUCGACAGAGUCUACAGGCUGCACGGGUUGCCUCGCACCAUUAUAACCGACAGGGACAAGAUCUUUACAAGCCAAAUGUGGCAAGAGUUGUUCAGACUCCUACGGGUGAAGCUACUGAUGAGCUCAGCUUAUCACCCUCAAACCGACGGCCAGUCUGAACGGCUCAACCGCUGCCUUGAGACGUACUUGCGUUGUAUGUGCUUCUAGCAACCACAUAAGUGGCACGGGUGGUUAACCCUUGCAGAAUGGUGGUAUAACACCAACUAUUAUAUCUCCUUGGGAAUGACACGUUAUCAAGCCCUGUAUGGACAUCAACCACCAAACGGAUUGGUCGUCAACCUGGGACUGGAGGCUGCGACUUCGAUACAGGAGUGGGGCAAAGAACACGAGAGACUCUCCGACUACUAAGGGAAAAACUACUGCAGGCACAGAAUAGGAUAAAACAAAAUGCUGAUAAGAAGAGAGUGGACAAAGAGUACAAGGUGGGGGAAUACGUAUACCUUAAAUUGCAACCAUACCGCCAGGUGAGCGUGGCGGUUCGGCGCAACCUGAAACUCACGGCGCGCUACUAUAGGCCAUUCAAGAUAACAGAGAGGAUCGGAAAAGUAGCAUACUGACUGCAGUUACCCGAAUGUUCCAAAAUCCACCCAGUGUUCCACGUGUCCCUGUUAAAAAGAAGCCCGCCUGUGACCUAGCCGAUAACGCCGGCUAUGCCGCUCGUCGGAGAAGAUGGCCAACUCCUAGCAUGACCAGAGAAGACCUUAGACAGGCGCAUGGAAAAACGAGGUAAUCGAGCAGUAAGCAAGGUUUUAGUGAAGUGGGAGAACUUGGAUGAGAAGUCGGCCACCUGGGAGGAUUAUUGGUUUCUGAAGUCACAGUUCCCGGACUUUGAUCCGGAAACGAAUCCGUGAGGGCACGGAUUCUUUUCGAAGCAAGGAGGGGCUGUAAGGCCUGCAAUAAACAAAGUAGUAAUUAGUAAAAAGGGGGAGAAAAGGAGGCAUUUUUGUGUGACAGCAAGAGGUGGAGCGGAGUGUCCGGUGAGCAGGCCGGCGAUAGGUGCGUCAAAGGGAGCCCCAGGUAAGGCAAGAUGGUUCGGGAGGAAGGCGUUGAAGGAAGCUUCGGCGAAUCGACAGAGAUGAACAGGGAAAGGGCUAGGGCAUACUUGGAGUGGAGAAGAGGUGAAGAUCUUGACCGAGGGUGAUCCAACAGAAUCCAAGAAGUGGAGGAAGUAGUAAUACUUCGGUGCUGAUGGAGCGGGGGUGGUCUGAGUCGCGGAUCGGGCAGAAAGGCGAGCCCACGACCCGGCGGGCGCUGGAUAGUGCGGAGAAGAAGGAACCGAGAACCGCUUACUCAUUAUCUGGAGUUCCUGGACUAGGAGAGUCCCAGCGGAGGCCCAUCAACCACCAAAUAGUAGCCCAGCAAGCCACAUUCCGAUUUACUAUCACAUUUGCUGUUUAGUCCUUACUUAGUUGCUAAUUUCCUUUCAGUACUGAUAUGAUAGUUAGUAUAAAUAGCCAAAAUGUAAUGUAAUCGGGUUAUGAUGAAAUAUAUUACAAGUUCUUCUUCCCCAAUUCCUCUCUUAUUCUCUAUCUAUCUUCUAUCCCUAACCCUCUCAACUCUCCUCCCUUCUCUCUUCUUAUCCUUCCCAAUUCUCCCAGACUUCACCUUCUAUUUCCCCAAUUCCUCACAUUACCUGCAAUCCGAAGAGUUCCCUGGCUCGGAAGCUCCCCAUCAUCCUCUCCGCCGUACCGGCCUCAGCGAGAGCUCAUCAUCGGCGGUUGCGGAUCGUCAGGGUCCUUACAUUAUGUCACUGGAUUCAACAAUUAUUUCAUAUUUUUAACACUAAUUGAAUAUUUCAUUAUAUUUCAUAUAUUUUUAAAAAGAAAAAUUAAUGGUAAUUCCUACGUUGUGUUAAUAGGAAGUAAUCUACCUGUUUUUUAUUUUAAUUUGGAAAUUAAAAAAAUGGUGCGAAAUAUAUAUAUAUUUUGUUCAAAAGAAUGAAAAAUAUUUGCUGUUUAAGAGAGGAGGAAUUCGCCGAUUAAAUGGAGAUUUAAAUUGAUGUCGACUAUUGUUUGAAAUUUCAAGUUCAAAAAAGAGUUUGACUAAUUAUAUAUAAUAGAAAGUGAAGUAUUCUUAUAACUCAUUUAGUGAGUCUAGGUAUUAAGUUUUGUUUUUUAAUUUUUAUUCAUGUGGAGUGUUUAAGAAUGAUCAUUAAAAGUUUCUAAUAAUCAAUCAGGAUGGAGUGUUUAAGAAUGAUCAUUAAAAGUUUCUAAUAAUCAAUCAGGAAAGUGACUGCACUUGAUGUAACCUUGUUGUUUUCAUACAACUUAAAAAUAAAUAAAUUUAAUUUUGCAGUACAUAUUGAACACAAGUGUGUACCCCCGCGAGGCACCGUGGAUGAAAGAGCUCCGCCGCAUCACAGCGAAGCACCCCUGGUACAUUAAUCUCUUAUGGAACGGCUUUUUGAUUUUAUAUUUUAUCUCAAUUUGCAUAAAAAACAAAAGGGAAAAAAAACAGAAGCGUUAAUAUAGUGUUCUAUAGCAUAUCCUUUUAGUUCCAAUUUAAUCUUAUGAGUCAGUUUUUACAAUUAGAUCUUAUAUGACCUCUCAAAUAAAACUUAAAAAAUGAAGAUCUAGAUGUUACAAUUAGAUCUUAUAUGUUCGCAUAUUCUUUUGAGCGUGGCACUCCGAGUCACCUCAAUUCCAAUUGUUAGAAUUUUCAUAUAUUGUGGCCCAAUUAGUCAUAUUUAAAUUAAAAUUUGCUAUAGAUAAAGGUAAAUCCUAACAGAUUUAGAACUACUUGAUAUGGUAUGUUUUAUCCAUAUUCCAUCUAUUUUAAAUUUAAAUAGAAUCCUAAUCAGACUUUGAUGGGAAGUCGAUAUGAACUCUAUAUAAAGGGGUAUAGGUCCUGCCACCUUCUCAUACGCAUUUCGGUGAAGAAUUACCAUCUGUUCCACACCAUACGGUAGAGUGCAUGAGAUAAGGGGAGAAAUCAAAUCACCCAAGUUCGGUUCGUGACUUUCAGAUCAUAGCCGGACUUCAUGCUUCCGCAAGAUUGAUCAAGAAUUUCUUUUCUAUGGCGCUCUGUGAGUUAUCUUAUUUUAUUUUGAUCCUGGAUUUUGGUAUGUAUUUAAUUUUCAUCUUAUUUUACAUACCUAUAAAAAUCUAUCAAUUGGUAUCAGAGCCAUUUAACGAUAAGUUAUAUAGUAGUAUACACAAAAUUUUCUCUUGGAGCAUUGGACAAGUGGACGGAUAUAAUUUGGUCGCUUUGAAUUGCAAACAUUAUUUUAUAAAAUUACUGUUCAUCAUCUUCUUCUUCCUUUAAAAUUAAUUCUAAGACUCGUUUUAAAGUUCUUGCCAAGGAUUAUAAUUGUUUGUAGCGGACGCGGCGAGAUUGCAACUAUUUUUGGCGUUGGCAUCUCGGCGACUUUUGGUCGCAUGGAAGGUCGUUUUGAACGACAAUCCGACUUUAUGCUGCGUGUCAUUGCGAGAUUCCGGUAAGGAUGAACAUCGGAUUUUCAUUAACUCGAUGAUGCCGUGAGCAAUCGAGUCUCGCAUGGGGUUGUCCACACAUUAAUCUUGGCCGCACGAGAUGCAGGGUGCUUGGCCUUUUUUGAGGUGGCCGCAUCGUUGCUUAAUUGAGUUCCUAAUUAAAAUCUAGGGAGAAGAUGAACAGUAUAUUUUGUUGGGUUGAUUUAACCUAUUCCACUUAAUGAAUUAAGACAACAUAAUUUCAGAUUUAAUUAGUUUGAACUUGUUUCAAAUCUGAGUUUAUUAUUAAAUUUGUCUUAAUUAUUUUCAGAUAAAGAUUAGAUUUGUUACUAAUCUUGGUUUCUUUUAUUAAACUCUUGGUGUGUAGUUAUACAAUUCGAUCCGACCAUCUUUAGAAAAGUAUAGUGGAGUUUAAGUCAACCCAUUAAUGAUCUAUGCCCAAUUUUCUUUUACUCAUCAUAAAGUUAUGCUCCAUACAGUACUGUGAAUGUUCAAAAUUUAUUCACAUAAAGUUUUGAUUUUGUAUAUAAUAUUAAUUUAUCAUAAAUUUAUUUAUCUUAUGUUUUGUGGUCAAAUAAAAAUAUAUAAAGUUUAAAUUUGAUUGCGUAAUUAUGCUUUAAAUUAUCGCAUCUAUAUUCUUAUUUUGAUCGGAUGAAUAUGAAAAUUAAAUAAUCAUAAAUAUUUUCGAUUAUUUAAUGUUUGGCGCUGAGUUAAAUUAAUUUAUUAUUUCGAUUGGCUAGGUGCAAGCCAAAGCGGCCCUAAUUAAAAAAAAUAAUAAUUUAAUUUACUUUAAAGUAGCGCUUCCGGAUAAUUUUCAUGUUAAUUAUGCAGCACUAAGUCAGAUUAAUUUAUUGCUUCAACUGUUCGGGUGCAAGCCAAAGCGGCCCCGACUGAAAGAAAAGAUAAAUUAAUUGCUUUAAAGAAGUGCAUGCAGAAAUUGCACCAUAAUAUCAUGUUUAGUCUACUCCCAACGGAGGUCUAGACAUAAAAGUAAAUGGGUGGUGUAGGAUGGUAAUUUUCUUGUAACUCGUUUGGAGAAAUUUGUCUGGCCAAAGCUGACAAUUUCUUCAUAUGGGAAAUUUGAAAUUAUCAUGACCUACAGAAAGUUUAAUUAAUCUCUCAUAGAGAGAUUGCAUAUUUAUGCUCAUAACUCUGCUCCCAAAGGAGGGGUUGUGAUGUCAUAUAAAGUAUAUGCAUAAAAAACGAAAAAUACUUAUGCUCACAACUCUGCUCCCAAAGGAGGGGUUGUGAUGUCAUACAAAGUGUAUUUUUCUAAUUUUUGGUGUGGUAAUUGUGAUGUGGCAUUUUAUUGAUAAAAAACAUGCAUUUUAUUUUUCAGCUAUGACUCCAUUUUCUGUUCCUAUUGGUGAAUCUGUUCCUAUACUUAAUGGUUCUAAUUAUUCGGAGUGAAAAGAACAGAUCAUAUUAAUUUUGGGCUAUAUGGAUUUAGAUUUGGCUCUGUGCGCUGAACAACCGCCUAAGGUAGUGGGGCCAAUGAGUCCACAGCAAGAAUCCGCGCAGGAAAAGUGGGAGCGAUCCAACCACUUAAGUUUGAUGCUCAUAAAGUCAAGGGUAUCAAAAAGCAUAAGGGGAUCAAUCCCAAAAUGUGAUAAAGCCAAGGAUUAUCUAAAGGCCGUUGAGGAGCAGUUUGUCAGCUCCGAUAAAGCCUUUGCGAGCACCUUAAUGAAUAAACUGUCUUCCAUGAAAUACUCCGGAAAUGGCUCGAUUCGCGAGCAUAUUAUGGAAAUGCGAGAUAUUGCAGCGCAACUCACCGCACUUGAAGUAACCAUCUCUCAUUCAUUCCUAGUGUACUUUAUUUUGAACUCUUUGUCAUCUGAAUACAGACCAUUUCAGAUCUCUUAUAACACACAUAAAGAUAAAUGGUCAAUUAAUGAAUUGCUGACCAUGUGUGUGCAAGAGGAAGGCAGAUUAAUACAAGAGAAACAAAAUGCAGUCAACUUUAUUUCUCAGAAGAGACAAAUAAAGCGUGCUAAGAAUGGCAGGGGCAAGAAUGACUCAAAAAGAAAGAACAAGGAAGUUUCAUCUGGUUCACAAGACCAAUCAAGUAAUUGGACUCCCAAGUGCUUCUUUUGUAAGAAAAAGGGUCAUAUAAAGAAGGACUGCCAAAAGUAUCAGAAAUAGCUCCAGAAGAAAGGUAAAUUUCUGGUUUUGAUGCAUGAGUUGCAUUUAGUUUCAGUUCUCUCUAAUAUUUGGUGGAUUGACUCUAGUGCCACAUGCCACGUGGCGAAUUCCGUGCAGGGAUUUCAGAAUUGGAGAAAAUCUAGUAAAGAUUAAGCGACUAUCUAUACAGCUGAAGGAAAUCCAACUAAAGUAGAAUUUGUAGGAACAUUUAGAUUAGUUCUUUCUACUGGUCACAUUAUGGAUUUAGUUUAUACAUUUUAUGUUCCAAAUUUUUCUAAGAAUUUAAUUUCUAUUUCGAAACUUGUUGGAUUGGGAUAUAGUUUUAGUUUUAAUAAUAAAGUUUUUUCUUUAUCUUAUAAAUCUCAGAUAGUUGGCUCUGGUGUUUUGAAAAAUAAUCUAUAUAAAGUAUUUUUAGAUGAUUUAUUUAGUGAAAUCGUUCUUACUAUGCACGAAAAUAUUGGAUCAAAACGUGGCAUUAAUAAUGAAAGGUCAUCCAUGUUAUGGCAUAAGAUGUCACGCCCCGGGGCACGGCAUAGGCCCGUCCGGUGCGUGUCCAGACCCGCCAUAUGCCUGCACAUAUAAGGCGUCUACAACAAAAGAGAUAUGGAAGUAAGAAGAAAUAAAGUCACUAGAGAUAUCAGAGCUACUAACAGCUAACAACUAACAACAAGUAGAGAAAGGGGAAAGUAAACUACUAAACAUAAAGAUAAAGUAAGUACAAGAGUUAUCACAAAAGUACUACAAAAAGGGUGGUCUCUAUACAAGAUACAACUCUCAUCCUCACCCAAAAAGAAAACAAAGAAGAGGUAGACCACCUAUCGCACGUCCCUCGCUCACAAGCUAGCUCGUGGCGAUACCCUUUCCGCAGUCCCUAGCCUCGCCCAGAGUGGAAGGCUCUGAAAUAAGAACAUGAAACAGAGGGCGUGAGAACUAUAAUUUAUAGUUCCUAGUGGGCAAUUACUAACCUCAGCAUAAUGCACCACUAGGCCCAAAGAAAAGGGGUAAGUAACGAUAAUAUUAAACAAUAUUAAGCUGUUGAAUUGAAAGCAUGUAUGAAAUGCAAUACUACUAUGCCACAAGAUAUAUGAUAUGUAACCAUUCUAUCAAGAUGAAAUAAGCCCAAUGCAUAGCUCGAAUGUUCUAUGAUGGCAAUAAGCAUACUAAGAUAUAAUGAGUAAUACUAUCAAGUAUACUAUGAGUCUAUCUCAAUAUCCACCACUAUGCGGUAAGCAUGUCGAAGUAUCCAACUACUAUACCCUAUCUAGUAGUGAUUAGCCUUUGUAAGUUGAUGUCACGGUUCAAUCUCAUUUGGGACUUACACAAGUGUAGUUCAGCUUGUGCCGCCUAAGUGUCGGUGGUAGUGUCACGCCCGGGUACCAGCGGAAGCAUAUCCGGUACGUGCACAGACCCGCCAUACACCUGCAGUAUAUAAGGCGUCUACGAAGAAAGCAAGUCGAUAGGAAGUAAAACAAAGAAAGUCCUAUCCUGAUAUCAGAGCAAUGUACAAGUCGAUAUACUAUCAGUAAAAGAACAAAGAGUAUACAAUCCAAAAAUCUCAACCACAAGAAGAAGUAUCACAACAAAAACAUCUGGUUCAACAGUAAAUAUACAUCACGGGGUAUACAAAAAUAGGUACAAUGGUGGUCUCUCUAUACAUAGGGACAUCACCCUCGGCCUUAGCCCGAGUAGCAAGGUGAUCGACUAGCGUGCUCCUAGCAAUGUCUAGCUAGACGCGACUCCCUUACCACGAUCCCUAGCCUCUCCUGUAGAUGGCUCUAUAAAAACAACCACCAAAAGGGCGUGAGAACUAUAAACAAUAGUUCCCAGUGGGUAAGCCGCCAGUCUCGGCGAAUUACACCACUAGGCUCAUGAUGUGCUAAAUUGAAAGCGAAAGCAGAAAUGCAGUUAUAUAUAAUUAUUGUCAAUGCACAAGGUAUAUGAGAUGUAAGCCACAUGUCAUCAUAGUCUCAACAAGUAAUGAAUCAAACUGAAUAAUAGAAGCAUUAGAACUAUGAUAGUUAUGAACUAAGUAUAAAUUGUAAAAGUAAACUACUAUACACUGAAACUCGUAAUCAUUCAUUUUACUGUACAAUUCCUUUAGCACUUUUCUUUUCAUUACUAGGGAUUACUCAAAGGUAGUCAGCUUGCCCCGCCUAAUGGCCCGUGCGCAGUGUACACUCCCACGGCAAUCACUUCGACCCCAUCACGCACGGGGAGCAACUGUCUGGCGAACUAGUGCAACUCCGGAGAGUGCCGCUGGUAGGAGCAACCCUCACAAGAUGUGCGAAUGAGCACUAAUGGCAAGGCAAUUAAUAAAUAGUUAAACAAUUCUCAAUUGUCAUCUUUAAACAUAAUUAUAAGGGUUACUUACCCGUGCGACUUUAGGUCUGGAUUGACUAGCCAUGGUUAGUAAUCCACCAGAUUAAAUGACGUAGAUAAAAGAACUAUAUAUUACAUAUGUCAUUUGAUCAACUAUAGUCACCUGACAAUGUUUGAACUACUUUUAACGCAGACAUACAUUAUUGCAUUAUAUUUUGGUUUAUGCAUUGUAAACUCAAAGGAGAAGGAAUCAUUCAAUGAUUCACAUGAAUUAUGCUCUACAUUCGUAUUAUAUAGCUUCAUAAUGAACAUAGAAGGAGUUCACUUGCUCUGGUUAGGUCCGACCCACAUAGCGAUAAGCUCGAUUCAGCCGAAAAGAGUCCCGAAAUUAGCGUCAACUGGCCUCAACCUUGCUGUAAACAAGCAAUCAGAACUGUAUUGGAAACUUUACCAAAGGUCGAAUUUCUAUAAAAUUCUCAAUUGACUAUAUUGAGAAUUUGAUCCUGGUUUUGGUUCACUUUAGUAACUCCAAUUUAACUCUAAAGGACUUCCAAUGUCAAUUGAAGUGAUUCACAGGAUCGUUGCACCCACGAUGCGGAGCAAUACAAAACGACAGUCAAAAUACUCGUAUACUAGUUAAUAUAGCCGGGAAAACUUCACUUAAUCAGUUUUCUAACUGAAAUAUUGACUUACCUUAGUUGAAAAUAUUUUCCAAACGGGUUCCCAAGUGUCACCAAUUAAGCUCAGAGUAAUUCGGAAACCCUGCUGUGAAGAAAAGAGUCCAAACUGAUCAAGCCGUUUAUUAAACCAAUGUUUAAGCUCCGAACUAGAAUCCAUAAAUUCCUAGACUUACCUUCACCAGCUUCAAAGCAGCCUUUCCCUUAGAUUAGGAAAUGGGUAAACUCACAGCUAGAUAACCUGCCAUCUCUAGCUGCCAGGAAUCAAUUUGCAAACCGGAUGCUGCUGAACCGAAUCUAAAUCAGCCAUUUAUCUCAAUUACUGCGCAACGCGAUGAAAAGAAACAUGUACUAUAACGCUUCUUAGAUCCAUAAACUCCAGUUCCAACUAAGCUAAGCCUAUAGUGUUAUCUGACCCUGUCCAAAGCAGCCAAAUCCCUUUUUCUAGCCUGGAAACAACGGAAACCUUAAAAUCAGCCACUUUCGAUAAUUAAGCUAGAUUACGAAAAGGUUGAGUGAUACUCUUCAAGCCCUAACUCAGCAGCUACUGGUCCAGAGUGCCGAAAACUUCCAACGUACUCUCUCACACAUUCACAAGGCUCCGCAACACUCGCAACUAGCCUGAAGAAAAGCAAGUGGCAAAAAUAAGUGAAAGCGUCGAUUUCUUUGUAGAGAGAGGAGAGAGAGAGAUUCUAGAGAGAGAAGGAAACCUUCAAACCUACCUUGCUGAGCUCAGAGAGGCUUAUCCAGGUUGCAGGGGUCGAACUGGAGGUAAAAGGGAUAAGCAUGCUGAGUAAAAAGACCAAAAUGUCCAAGCUGCCACGCAGCUGCUGCUGCUGCUUGCUGUACCGGUACAGCAUUAGGCUUGUACCGGUACACCAAUGCAGAAAAUGCAAAAUUCGCAAUUGCAAUGCACUUUCUUGCUUUUAGCUUUCCAAUCACCCUCUAACUUGUCCAAAAACUUGUCCAAGGCUUUUAGAAUAUGUAGGAUAGUUCCACUUUGCCUUCCACACACUCGAACUCUGCAAUUGGCAAAAGUUCAGUGUAUUACAUUCACCCCUCCUAGAAAGAAGUUUCGUCCGCGAAACUUAUAAACACUUACCUCAAGAUUCUGUCGAGAAUAGAUAAGGAUAAUGCUCUUGCAUUGCACUUUCCAGUUCCCAAGUGGCUUCUCGUUCCUCGUGAUUGCUCCAAAGGAUUUUCACGUAGGAUAUCUCGCGAUUUCGAAGCUGUUUCACUUCUCGAGCUAGUAUUCUCACUGGAUGCUCUUCAAAGCUCAAAUCUUCUCAUAAAUCCAUUGGAGUACUUUCUAAUAUGUGAGUUGGAUCAAAAACAUAUUUCCGAAGCGUAGAUACGUGAAAUACAUUAUGCACUCCCGAUAGGCUUGGCGGCAAAGCAAGCCGAUAUGCUACGGGGCCUAUCCGUUCCAAUACCUCGUAGAGUCCAAUAAAUCGAGGGCUCAACUUCCCUAGAAUACCAAAUCUCUUAACCCCCUUUGAGGGUGAAACUUUUAGGAAUACAUGAUCGCCAACUCGAAAUUCCAGUUCUCGCCGACGUUUAUCCGCAUAGCUCCUUUGUCGACUUUGAGCUGUCAGUAGAUGUUCUCGUGCAAGUCGAACCUUAGCUUCAGCUUCUUGCAGUACAUCUGGACCCAGGACUAAUCUUUCACCCACUUCACUUGUCACGCCCCGGGACCGAUACCAAUUUGGCCCGACCCGAGCACGUCAAACAGACGCCGAACGGACAGAGUUUCCCCUAUCCGCCCAAGGCUCAUCACGUGUACAAAUUCAAACAAGAAAUGCACUAGCGGAAACAUACACAAACGGCUUACACGAGGGUAAGCAAUAGCCAUUAGUGAAAGAAAAGAAAACUAAACAUUUAUAAGUACUAUGAUUCAUUUUUGAUCAUAUACAUUGCAUUCAUCUUGUUCAUUUUCGAAUUCCUUACAUUUUAUUUCAUCAUUUCUUUCUUACAUCACAAUUACCUCCAAAAUACACAUUACAUUAUUUUCUUUAUAUCAUUUACCAUCAUGUACAAAAGAUGAUCGUAGGGUACUCUACUACAAAAUGAAACCCAACUUUGGUGGCCUCUGACUAAGGCGCGAUACCUUUGCCUCGGUCGCUCGCCUGCUCGCUCGGUCCCGGCUCUGUGGAAAUAGUGGGGUGAGAACUACAACAAAGUUUCCAGUGGGUUCAGCCUCAACAUCACCGACUUUCCCACUAGGACUAACUCAGGCAUAAUAGAAAGGAUAAGCUGAAAUAUGGUAACCAAUCUACAACAUGAUGCUAAUAUGCCUGAACAAUAAGCAAGGAAUAUGCUCAACAUUAAAUAAAUGCAGAUUAUGCAAAUUUUUUUGUUCUUUAUCUUUACACUUUGUUCUUGUUCUUUGCACUUUGCUCUUUGUUCUUUAUUCUUUAAUCUCAAGGCUAACCCGGGGGUUUCGCCACAUUAACUUGCUUCACAUUAAGUCCAUCAUCGCAGGAGCUCACCCGCUAGGACCGUCCUUCGAGUUUACUCCAACCCGUGAUGCAUAACUCCGGAGCGCAUCGCCCGAGGGGGAGCGACCGCCCUCGAGCACGGAACUCAUAGCAAGUAUGAUCAUAUCCUUAACUCAAAGGAUUUAUAAGUUCAAUCUUGACUUUACACUAACUCUAGUGUUCUUUCAGCACUUUUUGUUGCCACUCUAGCAAUCAUUGUUCUUUACCAUUCAUAAUCUUGCUAUCUCUAGCAAUUUUAUUCUUUACAUUCUUUACUUUUGGCUACCUCUAGCACUUCACGUUCUUUACUCCCCACAUUACUUUAACUUUAAGCAUUGUCGUUUUCAUCGUUCUUUACAUUACAUUGGUUCUUUACCUCACAUUAUCUCUAGUGUCAUCUCACUUUAACUUUAUCAAAUGCCGCUCGAUCUAUGUCAUAGUGUCACUCUGUUCUUUUGCUCACUUUGGGUGCUCACUUUCUCUCAUGCAUACACAUAGGGUUUUCGACAUCACAUAGNNNNNNNNNNNNNNNNNNNNNNNNNNNNNNNNNNNNNNNNNNNNNNNNNNNNNNNNNNNNNNNNNNNNNNNNNNNNNNNNNNNNNNNNNNNNNNNNNNNNNNNNNNNNNNNNNNNNNNNNNNNNNNNNNNNNNNNNNNNNNNNNNNNNNNNNNNNNNNNNNNNNNNNNNNNNNNNNNNNNNNNNNNNNNNNNNNNNNNNNNNNNNNNNNNNNNNNNNNNNNNNNNNNNNNNNNNNNNNNNNNNNNNNNNNNNNNNNNNNNNNNNNNNNNNNNNNNNNNNNNNNNNNNNNNNNNNNNNNNNNNNNNNNNNNNNNNNNNNNNNNNNNNNNNNNNNNNNNNNNNNNNNNNNNNNNNNNNNNNNNNNNNNNNNNNNNNNNNAAAAGAAAAGCUUCAAAUACUCAAAUGGUUCCAUAAAACCCAUUUUAAGCUUAAUCCAAACCCUAGAUUAGGUUCUACCAUGAUUAGGGUUCAAAGCUUACCUUGUAAGCCCUCCUUUUCCAAGCUAGAGAUGAGGGAGGGGGAGUUUCUUCACUUCCUCUUCUUCUUCUCCUUUUUCUUCUCCUUCUUUUCCUUCCUUUCCUUGUCUUCUUCUUCUCCUUCUUUGUCUUCU